UUAUAUAGACAAGUAGAGGAGGGACAAGGUAGAAACGGAACCUAAAAUCUCAUGGACCGAUCUGUUGUUCCUAAUCACAAGACAAAGGAUUGGUAGCAUAUCAUCCCAAACAAAACACAAAAAAUUACUGUUCAUAUGCAAACUGAUUACAGGGGAUGGAAGAAGAGAGAGAUGAAAACAAUUGCAUAGACAGAUCUUUUGUACCUUAGACUGGUGAUAAUCAGUCCAUAACAAUUGGGAAGGUAAGAGAGUUCUCAAAGGCUGGAGCCAGCACUUUCAUCUUUCUUAGACAACCACAAUGUGUGGUUUCGAUCAGCAAGCCCACAACUAAUGUAGCUCAUAAACUUCACUCAACCCAGCUUGGCAAACCAAGCCUCUUUCAAGAAGAUCCGUUUCCCAUCCCCAACUUAACACAACCUGACGGUUUCAUUUGGGAGAAUAAUUUUGGGAUUGCGUAUGUGUGGGUUAAGAGCUGCCAAUUCCUUCCAUUUAGAACCAGUUCCAUGAACACGGGAUGAGAUGCUCCACAGUGUGUCACCAGGCUGUGCCUUAGUUGUUGCUGGGGCAGUAGAUUUAGAAGAAGCAGUCUUCGACUUCAGGAACAGAUGCUUAUUGCUCUCCCCUUUCCAUUAGUGAGCAACCAACGGGAACCAGAUUGUUGCUGGUUUGAACUUCCCCAGACCUUUCUCUUCCCAGGAUCAGUCUUGAGACCAGCAACAUGGACUUCAGUAAUCUUAUACUGGGAAUUUCUUCCACCUCAGAUUUCUUUUCUUCUGUCCCCUCCUUAAUUUCUUCCUUCUUUUUGGACUCGGCUGACUCAUCCUCUUCAUCCUCAUAUUUUACUUCAGAAACCUUGAGGUAAAUCCUUGGCUUUGGUGGAACAAACACUCUCUCGACCUGAAUUAGCGCAAGCAUUGGUGCACCGACUGGUUCAUAAUUCAGCAAAGGAUCCCGUAGUUGCACCAUCAAUGCAACUGUGAAGUUAUUUCCCAAAAGACCACACUUCCUACCAGAGCCUUUGCCACGCCUUCUAUCCCCCUUUGACCCUCCACGUAUCCAGUCCAAGGAGUUGGCAUGAUGCGCGGCAAGAAUUUUAGAAGUUCGCUCACUAAUUUGAUCUUCAUCAUCAAGUUCAGUCCCACAUACCCAUUGACCUCAAUGUAGCAAGCACGCCUAGGACACGGGAUCCAUUCCAAUCUAUGACCCUUCCUCCAGCUGCUUCCAUUCUCCUUCUCAGCAAGCCUGUUAGGUUAUUCAGGGGAGUCAAUAAGCCAUUUUAAUCGAAAUCCGAGAGAUUUAACUCAAGAUAUGAUGCAUCACAGGACAUAACUAUUUUCACUUUAGCUCAAGUAAUUUAGUCUGCUACUGAUCUAGCAUUUGCAACUAAUCGAGUAUCUACUGUGAUAAAUGCUAUAAAAAUCUUGCUCAGGAAAAUCUUGCCACCUUUCAAACUGUACCAUUUCAAUAUGAAGAUGACUUUACUCGCUUUCACUGGCUGAAGACCUUGUUACUGUUUCAAUAUCAGAAAAUAGACAUGCCAUUGAAGAAGAGAUGGUAUAAAAGUAUUGGCAAGAGCUUUUUGCGUUCAUUUAUCAACCUGGUAACAAGCCAUAUUGCGACGGGGUGCCGCUAGCUAUCACCCGUUUGUGGCGACUUGAAGUGAUUUCAGCAGCGUUCUAUCAAAGAAUUGCAGAAUGAACAAAGCGGGGCUGACCGCAAAAGAUCACAGGGACGAAUUCUAGUUUACUGAUUAAACCAACAGGGCAAGAUGGGCUUCAGCCUGUCUACAUAACCAUGAACAAAAAACAAAGAAUGGCAGAGCUUAUUAAGUUCCCCUAAUCAUAGGAUGUCAACCCUGCAAAGCAUGACCCCAAAGUCAACCUAAUCUUAAUCAGACAUUUUAGGAAUAUCUUGCACUUGCUUUCAUAUAAAACCAACACCAUAAGAUAAAUUAAGCACCUUUGAAAGAACACCAAGUGAACUUUUGGAAGUAUAACCUAGAAAUGACACGAAGUAGACAAAAAGGAUAAGACUUGUAGAUCAGAUUAGUCUUGUCACUUCAAGAUUUCUGGCAAAAUGUUGGAAUAAAUAAAGUGUCUUUUGGGGGGGAAAAGAACAAGAACAGAUCCCCUGAGCUACACAGCUUCAAUGGAAACAAACAAACACGAAGCGAGAGCUCACCUUGUGAUCAACAGACAAGGGCACGGCCACAUCGCCACAGCACAACACCGCUCGCGAAUCCCCGCAUUUUGCCACCACAACCUCCUCCUUCCCCACCACCACCGUCGACCCCGCCGUCCUCGUCCACGCGUCCACCCCCUUCCCUUCCCUCCAACCUCCUCGUUCAUCUUUCCGAACGACGCCUCCAUCACCUUCCUCCACUCGCUCUCUCCAUCUCCGUCGCUGCAUAUGCCGGCUCUCCCCUCUAUCUCCUUCACCAGUAGCUCCUGCAGCCGGUCGCGGAGAAGUAACGCAACGUCGCAACCUAGAGAGUUGCCAACUCUAACCCAAAAUUUUGAACUGAGAAGGAAAGAAAGGAGGGAAGGGAAGCUGCAGCGCGGGGUUGUGGGUGUUCAUUCUUCGAAAGGAGGAGAGAGAAAGUGCCAUUAAUGCAUGCAGCACUGCAGGAAAGUACGAGGAAGAGGAGAAAAUAAUAAGAUGGAGAGAAGAGAGAGACCGCUGGACAGGUGUCGAUCCGUGAAUGGAUCGGAGCACAAANNNNNNNNNNNNNNNNNNNNNNNNNNNNNNNNNNNNNNNNNNNNNNNNNNNNNNNNNNNNNNNNNNNNNNNNNNNNNNNNNNNNNNNNNNNNNNNNNNNNNNNNNNNNNNNNNNNNNNNNNNNNNNNNNNNNNNNNNNNNNNNNNNNNNNNNNNNNNNNNNNNUGGAUCAUCAUCCCACUUUUUCACUUUUCAACUGCAUAUUACAUUACAGGAGUAGUUCAAAAAAAAAAAAAAAAACUGCAUUUUACAGUAACACCACUUAUUAGAGGAGGAAAAUCACUCCAAAUGACCAACCCGAGCGAUUUCGAGUUCACCCACAAGCAGGGAACAAUGCCAUCGAUCACAAGCCCGCGAAGGAGGUCGCCGUCCCCGCCAUCGCAUCAACAGGCUUCCUCAGCACUUGAAAGAAGCCACCGAGAGAGGAGGCUCUAUGAAGCGUCGCUUGGCGGGUGCAUCGAGUCGUUAGCUCAGUUGCUGCAAGAAGACGGACUCAUCCUGGCUCGGGCUCCUGUCACUUGCUUCGACGAGACUCCAUUGCAUGUGGCCUGUAUGCAAGGUCAUGUACAUUUUGCCAAGGCUCUUUUGGCUCAUAAAAGGGAUUUGGCUAUGGAGUUGGACUUGCAGGUAUGUCGAAGCGAAAAUCUUGAUUGUGGUUGUUUGAUAUCCUUUUGUUAGGGUCAUCUUCACAAACCAGAUAAUAGGUGGAAUCGCAACUCUUUUGAUUAGGUUUUUGCAAGUUUUAGGCUUUUAGCCAUGUGUAAAGUAAUUUAUAAACUAUAUUUACAUGGAACAUCUCUACAUAUAUCAGACUAUCUUGCUUGUCAAAUUAGAUUUUGCACAUGUAAUAUAGCAUUUUCUUUUCCAGUUUUCAUGAUCUUUUUGAGAAAUCAAACCCAUCAUAUAUCUCAGGAAAUUAACAAAAUUCUGACAGAAAUUAAGUCAUAGAUUUCUAGGUUAAUUCAGCCUGAAAGAUAUUCCAGACACCAAUAAAUUUGAGUAGCUUGGUCUAUUUGAUUUGAAAAUGCGAUAUAUAUAAAUCAUAUGAACAUGUCCCUCAAUAAGAAUGCUCCAUAGCUAAGCACUUCACUUUUGCAGGGACGUACACCUCUUCACUGGGCAUCUGCGAAUGGAUACGUCGAAAUAGCGAGGGAAUUAUUACAAUCAUACCCCCUUGCAUGCCUUGUCCAUGACGAAGAUGGGUGGACCCACUUCAUCUAGCCAUGAUGAAAGGGCCGAAGCAACAUUGUGAUAGAGCUGGUGAAGGCAAGACCGGAGGCGGCUGAGCACAGGCUGAGCCACGGCCAAACCGCUCUCCAUCUGGGAGUGAGUCAUAAUCGUUUGGAGGCUCUAAAAGUUCUGGUGGAGACGGUGAGAGAUGGUGAUUUGGUGAAAGCUCAAGAUGAUGAGGGUAAUACCAUUUUGCAUUUGGCCGCAGCAAACAAGCAAAUAGAGGUAAUCCUUUUUGCUUUGAAUUGCUUCAAAAUUGUGAUGACGUCAAAUAUUGCAUUCCAACUAAACAUUUUGUGCAGACAAAAUCCAGCUCAUUCUCAUUUUCUAUAGACUCAAGCUUUCUGCAUUCAAACUUUAGUGGAUUUAUCGAUUGAAGUAACUUACAGGAAAUAUCUUUGUUUGUUGUUUUUUUUAUAACUGAUAAGAAGCUCAUCUUUUUGUGCAGACAGUGAAAUAUCUGCUUCAAAGAAGCGAAGUGAAUGUGAACACAGUGAAUAGAAAUGGCUUCUCUGCUCUGGAUAUAGUGGAAGAUUUUCCCAAGGAUUUCAAAGUCAUUGAAUUGAGCGAACUGUUAGAACAUGCUGGAGCUCUGAGAGCCAUAAGAUUCUCUACAUCAACAACUCACCAAGCAGUUGUUGAUAACACAAAUGAGGAGAAUUCAACUGUUACAAUUGACCUAGCAUCUAUAGCACCUCUCUCCACCAAUACUCCUCCGGCAGAAGCAGUUCCACCAUCAUCUUUAGCGGGUGAAAUCAGGAAGAAGAGGAAGACAAACACAAGAAAUGGAUUGAGAAGAAGCACGAUUCUCUAAUGGUAAUGCUUUAGCUAGAUGUCUUGGAGUAUUUGCUGAUAACUUAGAUUAGAUCGAUCAUGUUAUUGCAAUUAACAUCAUAGCUCACUGCUAAUUAAUUUAAACUUUCUGUUUAUUUCAUGAAAAAUGGAUGAUUGAGAAAAUAUUUUUCUAAAAAUGAUCAUUUAUGUCGCUUAAAAUAAAUAGUUAUGUUUUGUUAAAAAGGCUUUAUACAUAUGUACUAAAUUGCUCGUAAUUAAAUAGCUAUGUAGAGAAAGAAGAUGAGUAGUUACAAUAAUAGAUGGCUUAUGAUUAAAAAUAAAAGAACAGAGGGUAUUAUAAUUUCGCCUAAAAAAAACAGAGGAUAUUAUAAGAAAUCUAAUAGUGAGAAGAGAUGAAACAAGUUGAUGAAUAUUUAAGAAAGUAAUGGCACUCAAGAAAAUCUAAAUGUGAAGCAGUUGGGUGAUUUUCUUUAAAUAUCUAUACCAAUACAUAAAGUAAAGAGGAUUUCUAAAAGACUCAAUCUUUUGUCUUCUCAAAAUAUUCUCAACGACUUGGGAUCUUUUUGGUAACUAUUUUGUUUUCAGGAACAAUUUUUAUAUAGGAAUGAUUUUUUUUUUCCUUGAACGAGUUUCUGAGUAUUUGAAGACAACUAGUAACUAUCCAAAAUUUCUAUUUCCAGUAUAGAAAUACAUUUGGUAAGAGUUUAAAUUCUUUUGUGAUCUAGAAUUUCAUUUGAUUUUCUAAUAAUUUUAUUAUAUUUUUCUCUUUUUCUUUUCUUUUUUCCUUUUUCUUCCUGUCCUUCUUCCUCUUUGGUCGGUUGCCACCGACCGUUUAGAUGAGGGUUGGCAACCUCAUUGGAGCGUCACCAACCCCUAGCAAGGCCAAGCGUUGCCAGCCGAGCCUCAUCGGCGGCUAGAUGAGCUCGGCCUCACUCAGACCUUUGUCGCCCUCACGGUGGCCUAGUGAGGGCGAGCCUCAUCAGCGGCUAGAAUAUAAGUGUGUUUUACUUUCCAUACAUUUAGUUAUUAGAUUUUGAUGUUCUUUCUAACAACAAUAGCAACCUUUAUAAAAAGGUAUUCAAAUUUCGAAAUAUCUUCAUUUUUUUUCUAAUAUAUGUAUAUAUUCAUACACUUAGUUUUUUCAUAAUUUAAUCCAUGAGCUCUAUUUCUGUAGAGAGUUCGCUACAAUUUUCUAGUAUUUACAUAAAUAUAGGAAAAGCCAUCAAUUGAAUUUGUGCAUUUGUUGGAAUGACUAAGUUUGACUCGAUGAUCUUCGUAUGUAUAAAUAUAGUCGAAACACUAUUUAUUCAUUCACAAUCUAAAACUUUCUUUCACGUCACGACAGAUAACUGCCACCGUGAUCGCAGCCAUGGCUUACCAAGCCGGCAUUAGCCCUCCCGGCGGCGUGUGGGACAACGAUCAGAAAGACAAGAACAACGGCGCCAUCUUACACUACGCAGGAACACCGAUAAUGGCUGCAAACGAUCCGAAGGGUUACCCAAUGUUCUGGACAUACAACACCGUCUCUUUUCUUGCAUCCCUUAGCACGAUCUUCUUGCUCAUAAGUGGCUUCCCCUUGGGGAAGAAGGUUCUGAUGUGGAUUCUGAUGGCCACAAUGUGGGUGACCAUCAUUUUCACGGCGCUGACUUACCUCCAGUCCAUGCUGGCCUUCUUGAACGUGCGGAGGGAAUUUGAAGACAGGACGUCGACCCAAGCGGUUAGCCCACCCACCCAAGCAACCACCCAAUCACGGAUCCCAGGGGCUGAGGUCUUCAUGUAUGUUUGGCUCUGCGCUGUAGCCGUUCUUUUUCUAGUUCACAUCGUUCGAUACCUCGUGAUCGUCCUCCGAAAGAUCCGCAGAAGCUCAAGAAGUGGAUAUUAGGAUGUGUGAGUGGGUGCAGAUCUAGGGGCAAUAUCAAGAUCUAGUGUAUUCAUCUGGCGGGACAGAGGAUUACUGCAUAGUUUGAUGCCUGUGUUCUUUCUAACUUAAUCCCUAUGUCAUAAGACCAUUCUGAGUACCGCUACUUGUGCAAACAAUUUAAUGAGACUACUAAACCAAACACAGAGUCCAUCUCGCAUUAUUCUCGAGCUCUCCUCAUCAGAGAUGUCUCGCCCACGUAGCCAAAUCUUUCUAAAGAGAAUGGGAAGGCCUGGCCGCAAAGUAAUCUGAUCUACUCCUAUGUAUGCCGCAAAUUAGUAGGUAAAAGCAACAUUGGGCCAUUCUAUGAUUUGUCUCACACAGCUUCACCAUUAUCUUUCCAAUCACACCAAACAACCGAACCCACCUUCCUCAAAAGCAUCCGCACUUCUUUUAUGCUUCCUUCAUAUUCUUCUCCAUUGCUGAUAGAUGUCCAAAAGCCAUCUGAUCAAAGCUAGUGAGCCUCUCUGUCUGAUCAAUUUCAACCCCAUGGCACCAAACCACAAUGCAGUUGCACCAUUUACAUUAACUUCCUACACUAUUUCCUGCCUAAUUUUAAGGAAGUGAUACACAGAAUUCACAGAAAACACUCCAUUAUUAUUCGCAGGCCGUGCAAGCUGAUCCUCCCUCAAAGGUUGGAAUCGAAGCAGCGCUAGUUUCAUAUGUAAUGUUCACAUACCAGAACGUGUGCUUCUUCCAAAACAACAUUCAAGCUAUGAUAUUAUGACUUCUUGCCAAACGAUCUUUUCUUCUUUAUAUAGACAAGUAGAGGAGGGACAAGGCAGAAAUGCAACCUAAAAUCUCAUGGACCAAUCUGUUGUUCCUAAUCACAAGACAAAGGAUUGGUAGCGUAUCAUCCCACACAAAACACAAAAAAUUACUGUUCAUAUGCAAACUGAUUACAGGGGAUGGAAGAACAGAGAGAUGAAAACAAUUGUAUAGACAGAUCUUUUGUACCUUACUGGUGAUAAUCAGUCCAUAACAAUUGGGAAGGUAAGAGAGUUCUCAAAGGCCGGAGCCAGUACUUUCAUUCUUAGACGACCACAAUGUGUGGUUUCAAGCAGCAAGCCCACAACUAAGGCAGCUCAUAAACUUCACCCAACCCAGCUUGGCAAACCAAGCCUCUUCCAAGAAGUUCCAUUUCGCACCCCCAACUUAAUGCAACCUGACGGUUUUGUUUGGGAGAAUAAUAUGGGGGUUGCGUAUGUGUGGGUUAAGAGCCGCCAAUUCCUUCCAUUUAGCACCAGUUCCAUGAACACGGCAUGAGAUGCUCCACAGUGUGUCACCAGGCUGUGCCUUAGUUGUUGCUGGGGCAGUUGAUUUAGAAGAAGCAAUCUUCGACUUCAGAAACGGAUGCUUAUUGCUCUUUCCCAUUCCAUUAGCAAGCAACCAACGGGAACCAGAUUGUUGCUGGUUUGAACUUCCCCGGACCUUUCCCUUCCCAGGAUCAGUCUUGAGACCAGCAACAUGGACUUCAGUAAUCUUGAACUGGGGAAUUUAUCCCUAAAAAUUUAUGUGCAGAUGAUAAAAGUUCUUGCUUACAAUCCCAGGACUCGAGGUGAACACACCAAACUCAAGUGGCCUCACAGCACUAGACAUUCUUGAGCAGGGUCCCAGAGGCUCGAGAGUUCUUGAAAUUGAGACAUGCCUUCAAAGCUCAGGAUCUUCACUUGAUAACAUUCCUAAUCAGCAAUCUUAUCUUUUAUAUCUAAUUUAAGAUAUUGUUGAUAUUGUUCCCGUAUUUUCUCUGCUUGCCUUAAGCAUCCUCAAUCAUCCCUAAUUUAGGGCUCUAAUAUCUUUAUAUAUAGUUUGUACAAGAGAGAUCACAAUACAAUAUACAAAAAGUACGAUUUCUUCAUCACUCUCCAUAGACAUCCAAUCAGUCCCAUAUUACUAUGAUCCAGUUCUUGACCCACCACCAAGAAUGACCUCCCGCACCACCACCUCAAGAUCACCUAAAAACUCCCCAUCACUCGCCACCAAGAAAGCCCCUUCAAAGAAACGGAGUACUUUAAGGAAACCCCUAUCAAAGAAACUGAGUGCUCUAAGAAGACCCCCGGUGGAAGCCGAUCGGCUGAGCCAGGAGAGAUUCACUAAUGGUGGCCGCUUCGCUGCUAGCGACGGUGGCAUUCCAAGCUGCGACCACGCCGCCAGGAGGCGUCUGGCAGGAUGACUACAAGGUCGAUGCCAACGGCAACCCAGUGAAGGAGCCGCACAUGGCGGGCACCUCUACCAUGGCCCACAUCCAGCGGAUGGCCUACGGACAGUUCAUGAUCUUCAACCCACUGGCCUUCCUGUCCUCCCUCAGCAUCAUCCUUCUCCUCUUGAGCGGGCUUCCAAUAGAGCGGCGACGCUGGAUGUGGACCCAGAUGGUGAUCAUGUGGCUAGCGAUCACGGGCAGGCGAUCACCUACUUCAUAGCGCUGCGCAACAUAUCGCUGGCUGACACGUGGGGGAUGCUGAAGCACGUGACGGUGGUGUGCUGGCUGUGCCUGAUGGGGGUGGUGUUCAUGGGGAAUGUGGUGAGGCUAUGUGUGUGGGUGCUGAGGAAGUGGGGUUUACUUGAAGAAGAAAGAGGAAGAAUUCAGAUGAAGACAAUGAAGACAAGCAUGAGCAAGUGUGACGGUCUGUGUGACAAUCGAGUAAAUUGAAUGGUCUUUGUUCUAUGAUAGCGGCGGCAUGGUCAGUAUGUGUAAAAUUUGUGAUUUUGAUGAGCGGGUUGAUGAUGGGUUUUGAGGUGCUCUGUUUUCUUCUACUUCUGUUAGAUAACAGAGUAUUUGUCCUAAAGAGAGGGUAAGACGGAUUCUGCUAGAGAAAUCUUUUAAUGGUAAACGAUUGAAGAGACUCAAGUGGCGCUUGGAGCAAUCGUGCGUGAUCUCCCUCUGUAAUUUGUACAAAAGCAGGACAAUAUGUGGUUAUAGUUGCCGCAAUUUCUUCUCUAUACAAUGUUGAACAUGACUGUUGGACGAAGAGAACUUCAGCCAGUUCGGCCAGGUCUGCUCAGGAACGGCUCAGUCCUCUCAACUCGGCCAUCUUCACUCGGCAUUGAAGUAUUCUGGACUUUGGUCCUCAGUUGAGAUUCAGGGUGGCUGGAAAUAAAUUAGUAGUACAGGAUGUGAUUUCCUGCAAUCAUUAUAUAAUUGUUUCCUUUGUUUGAAUAUUAUUUGAUGCUGAGAUUAGAAAUGUUUGUCUAGGUUUUCCAUUUCCUUCCCUUCCUAGCUGCUGUUAAACAUCUAUCUUGCCAGAAGUUUCUGCUAUGGAGGGAUAAAUUAAGCUGCCAUCUCAAGCCUCUGUUGCACGAGACCGAACCUCAAGCAGGUUAGAGUGUAUCUACUGUCUAUGACUUGAGAAUUCCAUGUCAAUUAAACUGUACACAUUUGAUGAUUAGAAGCACGACUCUGUUUAAGCAUGGUACCCUGUAACUUCUUACCGCCAGACAUAACAAUUUUCGCUGAAAUCUCUGCUAGACUCGAUUCAUUAGACUAUUCAAAAUAAUAUUUUGAGCGAUCGGACUAGCAUGAAAUGAAAGAGAGAGCCAACUCAAAUGAUUGUCAUAGAGGAUGACACUUGAUGAGAGCAUGAACUUAUUCCACACGGAACAAAACAAUUUGUUCUGUCUUUCGCCAUAAAAACUGCUCAAUUCUCAUCCAUAUGGAAAAUACAGCAUUAUUACAUCAAGGCGGUCUACCUCCAACAUCAGCAUCAAAUAAAAACUGCAGAUAUAAGGGAACAUUAGAACUGUAACUCUCACUACAAACUCGGUCUAUAGCCUGAGUAGCUGCUACCUAGUUGUCUGAUGGAUUAGUUGCUCAACUGACCCAAAUCCACUGGACAUCUUCAAAGCUUGAGGCUUUCUGUCCUGCAUUGUUGUCGGUUAUAGAAAUUCUAUUGAGUCGCUACCUUUGAUAUUUUAUUAGAUCUUCUACAAGCUCUAAAUAGUUCGUGCCAAAACCCCUCCUCUCUAUAGUUUUCGUGUCCUUGCUCAUAUCUCCUCGCCAAGGUAUCCACACAAAGGUCUUCCAUUCGACAUGAUCAGAACAUCUCAAACGACCUCCUCUCAUAUUAUCCUCGAUUGGUUGGCAGUCCCUAAUUUUACCUGCUUUAAUUGAUUUCAAAUCUUGCCUUUUCUUUCGAAUGUCAUGUCCUACGAAGCAUUCUCAAGGUGUCGUUGGCAUGAUCUCCAGUUUUGUCAAAUUAGAUCGAAGUUAAUGGAAGGAUUCAUUCCUCGGUAUCGUCUUGAAUUUGUCUUGUCACCAUUGGGGCAAUGGAGGCACCUUCCCCUUUGUAGCUUCCAAUAAUUUGAAAUGGAAACUACCAUAUGUUGUAAUCAUUUUCCGAAUUUGCCCCGGGACAAUACAAGUGUGUACUUAUGAGGGUUGAUUCAACAUGGGAAUAAAGGAGAUUGCAAAAUAUUUAAGUCAUUCAUUCGAUUGUGCUCUUGCCUGAUUGAUCAUAUCAGUAAGGCAUUUUGGGUGUUUAAGGUUUACUUACCAAAGAUGAGCCUUCUUGUCAUAGAAAAAGCCAGUGUCGGAAGAAUUAAAAGAAAGGCAAAUGUUAAAAGAGUAAGGAUAUUUGUUAAAUUUCAUUAUUUGGCAUCUUUUUUUCUGAGUUAGUACGAUACUUCUUUAAUUUUGAUCAAGUAAUUCGGGUAAUCUCCAUGUUAUAAGGGUCUUGUUAAUAAAAUACCUCAAAGGCACUAGUUAAAACCACUAACAAUAAAAAAUAAAGCGUAUCAAGUAUAUGCUGAAAAUCGAGCAACCCCAAAUUUCGAAAAUAGCCACGUACUUCAAAUAUACAGAUUUAUUUUUCCAAAGAAAAAUUAAUGACGCCCAGCAAGUACCCUAACUACAUUCUUUAACAUUUUCCUUUUUAUGAAUUAUUCUAACACUCGAUUUCGAUGAGAAAAGCUCAUCUUAGAUAAGUAAACCUCGAACCUCCAAAAUACCCCAUCGAUACUAAGGACUGAGUAAGAUGCAAACCCAAAUCUCCAUAAUGGCGUUUUAGCCGUAAGAGUCAUUAUCAAGGUAUGAACAUUCUUUGUGCCUAUGAAAGUACGUAGAUGGAAAUUAUACAUUCCCUUAGUGCCUUCUAAUCUUUAGCUAAACGUGUUGGACGAUAACAUGACAUGCCAUCAACCUGAAAUUUGAACAUGUGAAGGAUUAGUGUCCAAACAGUACCCAUAUUAUCAAUAUCGGUGUAAGGAUGAGAUCCCCUAUCAUCUUAUGAGUAUUUCCAUUCGAUGUCGUAUCAUCCAAACCUUUGAUCCGUGCGAAUAAAGAGGAAGCGGAUCCUUUCCCAUUGGUGCAGACAUCGCUUUGGCGAGUUUCAGUUAUUGAAGAUGGUCGGGAGUGCAGAAAGCAAGAAAGAAAUGAGCAAUCAAUAAAUCAAUCUCGCGCCACGACAAAAGGCAAGCUCUACAUGACGUGUGAAACCUCAUUUGAGGUUAGGUGGCAUUGCGCAGUCCUCGCAUUCCAUUGAGGAUGCAGCGGCGAUUUCCUGAAGGUUUACUCUAUUAGUCAUGCUCAACAGAUAUGUACAUUGGUUUUGACAUCAUUGGCUUGGUGGUUGCCUAGUUCUAUCAACUUCACUUUAUUUAAAGUUCAAUGCUUUAACUAAAUUAUAAUGGAAAAGUUGGAGCAUUGCGCGCACGCCUGGAUGAAACAUUAGCACACUCCCACGCUUAAUCAUAAGCUUCCCACUUGAGAAAGUGUAGAUAAUGCUACAUAACACAAUGGAUCUAAAAUCAGUAAAAUCAGCAGAAUUUGGUUUGGAGCUUCCCACUUGAUGUCUAAUGGCAGGGGCUUAUUUCUGCUGCGGUUUGCUGAUCCUGAGUUCAGGAGGAAAAUAUUAGAAGGUGGGACUAUUACUGUCACUAGAAUCCCGCUGAUACUCCAACAAUGGAAACGGGGAAUUGAGUUAAACAAAGACUCUCUUCAAUCUGUGCCGGUUUGGGUUAGGUUGAGAAAUCUUCCGUUCUCUUUCUGGUCUGCUCAUUAUAUUAGUAAGGUAGCUAGUGCUCUCGGGAAACCGCUUUACGUGGACCACAGAACGGAGCAGAUGUCCAUGCUUACCUUCGCCCGAGUAUGUGUGGAAAUAACAGUGCAGCAGCCUGCCUAUGAGUCUCUUAAGCUGGAACUUAUGGGGAAACUGGUUGUUGUGGAUGUGGAAUAUGAAUGGAAGCCUUUAGCUUGCUUGAAGUGCAGAAUUUUCGAGCACAAGUGCACUGAUAUAGUUAAAGAAUCUGAUCCAACCUUGCCGGUGGAUGGAAAUGACGAGACUGAGCUCGUUCAGGUCCCGAUCAGAGAAGCGGUUCCUCAGAUGGCAAAAGGUAAAGGGGUGGCUACUCAUCCUACUUCAGGUAGGGAGGAUUUGAAUGAUGAGUUCGGGGAUCCGCAGAUCUGUAUCAGGUCUGAUCAAAUAGGUGAGACUAGUUCGCCGAAAACGAACCCAGGCCAUGAAUCAUUUAUGAUCAAUCCUGCUAACUGCGCCACUCUUGCUGAGUCUGCAUCUGCUUCAGGAGACUUGGAAUGGAAACAAGUUAAGCGAAGGAAUAAAAAGAAGAAAAAGAAAGCGGCGAAAUAGGCUGCUGCUACUGUCUCUUUCGGCCUAUCCCCUCCUACCGAGGAAGGCCAAGUGCUGAAACAUAAGGACGUCCAGCCAGAGGAGCCUUCUGUGAUCCUAGAACCUUCUUGCGACAGAGCGGCCGUUCCUCUCGCUCUGUCAGAAAGUUCUGAGGAAAUUUCGAAUUCCAGUAUCCAUGGUGAAUCCAGCGAUGAUGAAGUUCAGUCGGUAGACAAGUCUACGCUAAAAGGGAAACCUCCUGUAAAGGUUCCUAAUCUUCAGAACCAGUUGCUGCGUCUCCUUCCUGACCCCCCUCCUGCUGCGGCACUGAAAGCUUCGGCUACGGGCAGGAGGACGGCCAGGAAGAGGUAAUCUUGUUCCAUAUUCUAUUUUUUGGAUGAUAAUCGGCUUUUGGAAUAUUAGAGGCAUUGUUGAUCCCCUUAAGCGAGCGGAAAUCAGGCGUUUUGUUGCUAUAAAUAAAUUGUGUUUCAUUGGCCUCCUUGAGACCAAAGUGCCUGAGGAUUGUUUUGAACCGGUCUCGUCCACCCUCAUUAGGGGUUGGUAUUGGCUUUCGAAUUAUGAGUUUUCGCCUCGUGGGAGGAUCUGGGUUGGCUGGAAUCCAGAGUUAGACUCCUACUCUACUAUUUCCAUUAGUGAUCAAGCAGUGCAUGGCAUGCUGAAGUUUAAUAGUUCGGGGUUAAGUUGCUGUCUUUCUGUUGUUUACAGGGAGCACUCAUUUGCCCGCCGGCGCCCUCUAUGGGAAGACCUUUGCCAUUAUAGUGAUAUUUUCCAGAAUUCUCCGUGAUUGGUCGCUGGCGAUUUUAAUGCAAUUAAAGAUCCUUCCAAUCGCAUUGGCUGUUCUACCAACUGAAUUUCCUACUUUGAUGAAUUUCCCCAAUGCUUGGCCCGUGCGGAGCUUGUCGACCUCAGAUAUGUUGGGUGCUGCUUCACUUGGUCCACCUCAUCCGGUGACGUGAGGAAAAUGAGGAAGAUCGAUCGCGUUCUCGUCAACGGUGAGUGGAAUCUUCAAUUCUCUUACUCAGAGGCCAAUUUCCUUAAUCCAGGGAUAUCAGAUCAUUGUCCUAUGACUGUUAGAGUUUUGCAGCCCUCAUAUAAGAGGAAGCCUUUUAAAUUCUUCGACUUUUGGACUCACCAUCCAGAGUUUAAGGCCAUUGUCCAGCAGGCAUGGGAUAGUCCGGUUGCAGGCGUAUCCAUGUACCAACUUGUAUCGAAGCUUAAGAGAGUAAAGGCGCGGCUUAGAUCUCUUAACCAUGAGGCUUUCUCCAACAUUUCAGUCAAGGUUGCUGAGGCUAGAGACGCUCUGAGAACUACUCAGCUAGAGCUCCAGUUGAACCCGGCAAGCUCAAUUCUUACUCAAGAAGAAAGGGAGUGUCGCCGUGUAUUUGUUGAUCUCAGAUCUCAGGAAGAAUCCUUCUAUAGACAGAAGUCUAAGAUUACAUGGUUAAAAGAGGGUGAUAGGAACACGAAGUUCUUUCACCAAUCUAUGAAGAGAAGGCACUUAUUAAAUCGCAUCCUCUCUGUAAAAGACCCAUCCGGAACCGCAAUUACUGAUCCAGUCUUGGUUCCUCAGGUGUUUGUUAAUUAAUUUUCUGAUAUGUUAUCUUUGAAGGAAUGGCUGAUCAGACCGUCCAUUGAUGAGGUGAGGCAGUAUGUUCACAAGACCCUGUCCCAAGACCAAUCAAGCUUCCUCAGUAUGCCGGUUUUUGAUUCUGAAAUCAAAAACACAUUAUUUUCGCUGGCAAAGGGCAAGGCCUCAGGUCCGGAUGGUUUUUCUAUCGAAUUCUACAAAUAUUGAUGGGAUUCCAUUGGCUCUUCAGUGCUCAAAUCAGUGCAUGACUUCUUUCGCAACGGUCGGCUCUUAAAAGAGGUAAAUGCCACUACUCUAGCGCUUGUCCCUAAAGUGCCUAAUGCUAGUGCAAUAAUGGACUAUAGACCGAUUGCAUGUUGUAACACGAUUUAUAAGGUGAUUACGGAGAUUUUAGCCAAUAUAAUAGCUGGGGUCCUUGGGGAUUUGAUUAGUCAGUCCCAUAAUGCAUUUGUUAAGGGUAGGAGAAUGAGGGAUAACAUCCUAUUAGCUCAGGAAUUGUUUGCAAGAUUCCAUCUAAACCCGUAUUUGCCUAAGUGUGUGAUAAAAGUUUACUUUCAUAAGGCUUAUGAUACUGUCGACUGUGAUUUCUUAAAGCUGGCCCUUGAAGCGUUUCGGUUUCCUUCCCACUUUAUAAAGCUCAUUAUGGUGUGUGUUCGGACUCCGAAAUUCUCUAUAUCCAUCAAUGGGGAUCUUCACGGUUUUUUUUCCGGGGGGUAGAGACCUAAGGCAAGGAGAUCCAAUGUCCCCAUACCUUUUCACGUUGGUAAUGGAGGUGUUCUCUGGUAUCUUGAUUUCUCGCACCUCCAAUCCAGAUUUUAAAUUCUACUGGAGAUGCAAACAGGUUCAGCUCUCCCAUUUGUUUUUCGCUGAUGAGGUUUUCUUGUUUUGUCAAGCAGAUUGGAAGUCGGUUGUUAUGUUGAAAACAGGGCUUGAUAUGUUCUCCUCUUGGAGUGGUUUACUUCCUAACAAGCACAAGAGCGAGAUUUUCAUGGCUGAUGGUAAUACUUCUAUUCGGAACAGAAGCCUUUGGGCUUUCGGAUUUCAGGAGGGGAAAUUACCGGUCCGCUAUCUUGGUGUACCGAUUAUCUCUUCUAGAUUGAAUAGAGCGGACUGCAUAGCAUUGACAGAUCGCAUUACUGCGAGAAUCCAAUCAUAGACGCAUCGGUUUCUAUCAUUUGUAGGUAGGCUGCAACUUAUAAGAUCUAUUCUUCAUUCUGUCCAAGCAUUCUGGACGAGCGUUUUCACUCUUCCAUCCUCGGUCCUAGCGGAUAUUGAGCGGAUAAUGAGGCAAUUCUUAUGGGAAGGUACAUCACUAGGUCGGGGUGGCACCAAAGUGGCUUGGGAAGAUGUUUGUUGUCCGAAAGUUGAAGGGGGCCUCGGCAUUCGGAAUAUAAGGGAGUGUAAUAGGGCUUCUAUGGUUAAAUAUAUAUGGAUCCUAUUCUCCAAUAAAGAAUCCUUGUGGUGCCAAUGGGUUCAUUCGGUUUUCCUAAAGAAGAGAAAUUUCUGGAUUGCCGCUCAGCUAGGGACUUGCUCCUGGACGUGGAAGAAGAUUCUCCAGCUUAGGCCCUUUUUUCGCCUAUCUUUCAGGUGGGUGAUUGGCAAUGGAUACUCCGUCUCGCUGUGGCAUGAUUAUUGGCUUCCGUGUGGUCCUUUGGAUGGAUUCAUCCCCAUCUCUUUUAGGGACAGAGUCUGCCUACCGGAUUAUGCAGUGGUAGCUGAUCUCUACUCCCCGGUAGGUACUGCAUUCAGAAAUCUUCUGGAAAGAUGGUCGAUUGCUUUGCCGCCGCUAUCCUCUGUGCAGGACAAAUUUAUUUGGUGCUGCGAUUCCUCUGGUGCGUACUCGGUUGCCUCGGCAUGGGAAUCCAUCGGGGUCAAGAGAAACCCGGUCAAAUGGGCCUCUCUCAUUUGGGAUAACGCCCUUGCUUCGCGGUAUCAGUUUAUAUUGUGGCUUAUAACUAAAAACCACCUUCCUACUCAAGCGAUGCUUCUAUCUCAUGGCAGAAUAGACUACAGUCUCUGUGCCUUUUGCAAUGAAGUUCCAAACUCUGUUGAUCAUCUUUUCUUCGGUUGUCGCACCUUGGCACCUUUGGCCUUCUUUUGGGCCACCAGGUGUAACCUCCCGUGGAAGAACAGAAGCUGGAAGGAUCUCAUUUCAUGGGCUAUGAAGUUCUUCAGUGGAAAGGAUUUCUAUCACAGGAUUGUUCGAUUCUCUUUCGGAGCUUUGUGUCAUUUAAUUUGGAAGAAGAGGAAUGCUACUAUUUUCCGGGGUGAAGCAAUAGCCAUUCCUGCAAUUAAAAAUCACCUUAUUAAGGCGGUCAGAGACAAAGCUAUCUCUUUCUCCAAUGUUCCUCCAUCUCCGAGGAACAACAGGCUUCAAAGGUGCUGGGGAUUCGAUCCGGUGGUCUUCUCUACUCGCUGAUCUUGUUUCCGCUCACCUCUGUUCUAGUUUCUCCGUUCUUAGCCUUUGUCUGUUUAGUUCGGAGGGUCUCCGUGGGUUGUAUGGUGAUUCGCCAUUGCCUUCGCUUGUUGUUUUCCUUAGCUUCUGUUCUUGCUUGUUUUACAUCGGUUCCCCUCCACUCUUAUGUUAUGAGAGUGUAGGUUAUGGACCCGAUCUUUUGUAAUUUUCCAAGAUCCAUUUAUUCUAUUUACCUUUCACCAAAAAAAAAAAAAAACAAGUGGUCCACUAUAAAAGCCUUCUCACAUCCGCACGUGUGUUUUUGUAGUUUCCCGAAAUAUCACCAUUUCACUUAAUAGUGCCAAGAUGCAUGUGUAAAGAUAUUAUGUGAAAGAGACCUCCCAUUUAGAAUGUAACAUAAGGUGGACAAGUCAAUAGUAUUCUAGUUGGUUCAUGAAUCAUUAAUUUCAAAUUCUAAGUGAAGGUGAGUUAUUGUUGAGCUUGGGUUUAAGCUUGAACCUAGCAAUUUCCCUAGGUAAAGGUUUUGGGCUUAACAUGUGUGAAUUGAUGUGUGGUGAAUAUCUCAAGGGAAGAAACCUCGUAUGUGACUCCUAAUCAAGGUGACCAAUAGUGUGAUCUGCUGAGGUUGGCCAUACCAAGGCAAUGGAGGAGGAGUCAAGGCAAAUGUUGUGUUCCUACUGAGCUGGGCCAAUGUAGAGAUUUGAAAUGAUGCUGGUGUGGUAUUAAAGGGAGCAAGCUUGACAUAGAUGGCCCACACAUGAAGUAUAGAUUUGUUGAGAUGCACGUGCUAGGGUGUUAUAAGAAAGAAGUCCCACAUUAGAGAGCGAUGCAAAGUGAAGAUGUUGAUAUAAUCUUAGUAGGUCCAACUAAAUAUGUUUACGGACUCGAACUUAACGUCUCCCUAAGUGAAUAUAUCAAGCUUCCACUAUGUCUCCCAACAAUUAGAAUCUUUUCUUACAUCGUGUUAAAGCAAUGUGUAUGGGUUUCUAUAAAUAUAAAUAUAUUUAAUACAAAUUCAAACACAUAAAAUCUUCACAGAUGUGUCAUUGCAUCCAACGAACUGAGGAUAGGGAUUUAAAUAAACAGAUCAAAUUCAGCACCAAAUAAAAUUUAUCAAAUCAUUCUUAAAGCCAGUAUAUCACAUUCCACGAUAUUUACCUUUCCAACGUUGCGGAAGCAGGCAGGAAUGUUCUUUAAUCCCACGUGCUUGGUUCACUGUUUUGCUUCUUCCAACAUGCAAAUGCUUUUACAAGACCAAUGUUUUAGCUUGGACGUAAUUAGCAAUCUCAGCCUUUAACAUUUCGACUCCAAGACGACGUAUGUUGUUUCCGGGGGCAUUCCUUAAAAGACAUGAUCCAAGAGACCUGAGCCAUUGUGCUCGGACUCCUGUGCUUUUAUUUUUGUUAAGUGCUAUGAUCUCCUUUCUAUACCAAAGCAGAAAAUAAUGAAACGACCUAGAUAAACAAAUCUUGGAUCUUUGCAUUCCCAUUUUACAAUUUAAUAGCAAUCUCAUGAAGCCUUACAGAUGUUAGUCAAGCUUAACAGAUAAACAAACUUAGGUGUACAUUAUAGGUGUACAUUAUUGGUGGGAAAAUUGUUCAAAAAAUCUUAAACUUAUUGCACUUUUGCAAUUUAGUCAUAAACCUUUCAAUUUUAUCAAUUUUGUCAAUUUUGUCAUAAUCUUUUCAUCUGUUGCAAAUUCAGUCAUAAAUCUUUUCACUUCUUGUCAUUUGAGUUCAUCCAGCCAAUUUUGGCUAGAAAUUGCUGACUUGGAUGGCUAGCACUGACGUGAUAAUUUUUUAAUAAUAUUUUGAAUUUUAUAUGGUUUUUCUCUUCUUCUUCUUUCUUUCUUUUUUUAAGUUUUUUUUUUUGAGCUAGGGUCAACUAGGGUUGCCGGCAGACCUUCGCUGGCAACAGGACAAAUUGUAAAGAAUGGUGAGCAAGGAUGGAGGGUUAGACAAUAAAUAAGUGGCUAGAGCAAAGAAUUUAUGGCAAGAAAAAUUGUAAAAAAUGGCGGACAUAAUAGAGGGUCUUUCUCUAUGGUUGUAAAUUGCUGACUUGGACGGCCGGCAUUGACAUGGUAAUUUUUUAUAAUAUUUUAAAUUUCAUAUGGUUUAUCUCUUCUUCUUUUUUUACUUUUACUUUUUUUGUUCCUUUUUUUUUUUUGAGCUAGGGUUAGCUAGGGUUGCCGGCAGACCUUUGCAAGCCACAAGACAAAUUGUAAAGAAUGGUGUUAAGGACGGGGGGUUUGACGUGGACGGCCGGUAUUGACGUGGUAAUUUUUUAAUAAUAUUUUGAAUUUUAUAAGGUUUUUCUUUUUCUUUUCUUUUUUUUUACUUUUUUUGCCCAAUGAUUUGUUUUUUAUUUUUAUUUUUAUUUUGGUCCCUUUCAUGGACAAUUCAAGAAAAAUUGUAAAAUAAAACCAACGCACGAAAGGUCAAGAAAUUGUGAUAAAUAACCAGAGAAGGUGCCUCGAUGUUUCCACCAUCCUUGCUUUGUCGUUUUUCUCCAUGUUUCAUGCGCCCGAACACUGUUUCGACUGACAUGGACACUUUGUCGAGCACCUGCCCAGCCCCGUCAAGCUUCCCGACAAGUGGUAUCAAACCAAUGGUUUAAACAGGUUGGGCCCAAAAUAUGUGGAUUGUAGUCGGGUGAAUGUUUCAAGGAAAGAAAUCCGGCGCGACUCCCAAUCGAGGUGGCAGAUGGUGUUUUCCUGUUGAGCUUCGCAUUGAGGAGUCAAGGCAGAAGUUGUAUUUCUGGCGAACUUGGUUGGGCCAAGGUGGAGAUAUGAGUGGAGAUGUUAUCAGUGUGUGUCGCGACCAAUUUUUUCGGGGUGUGAACCACCUAGGGUUUGGCUAAUGGAUUGUUAAGCCUAAACUUAACUCGGGCUCUCCCAAGCCCAUACCAAUUCGCGACUUAGGUUUGAAUUGUUAACAUGCAAUUUUUUUAAUGGGGGAGUCGCCACUAAUCUAUUUUUGGUAGGUCGAUUAGACACCUAAGUAAAAUAAUGGGAGAAUUAUUUUACUUCUACGAACCAGAGAUUAUGGGUACGGGGACUUGGUUACACUAGAAUUCUCUAAUGCCCUUUUGGUACCUUUCUUUUAAUUUUGAAAAAUGUUUGGCAAGCAAUUUGCAUUGAUUUUAAAUCCAUUUCUCUAACAUGUGAGGUGUUCAUGCAGGUGCGCAAACCACAAUUUAACACCCAAGAAAGUAAUUAAAUAAUGCAGGACUUACCUCAAAGCAACGAAAGCAUCUGCAAUGUUAAAUUGAAAUCCACACCAACAACCCUAGAUAUGGUUUCUAAUUAACAAGCAAUUACUCAAUUUAUGUUUUCGCUUUUCUUAAUGAAAAUCAUGCAAUGCAUUCUAAUAAUCUAAUAUGACAUGGCAGCAUGACCUAAACUAUAUGACAUGAAGAAAUGCAAUAAUUAGAUGCAAUCUAAAUGACUUAAUUCUAAUGACAUGCAAUGCGAUGCGAUGACAUACAAAAUUAUUUCAUCUAAAAUGACAUGCGACAUUGCAAUUUAAUAUGCGACCUAUAUGUCACGCGACAUUUAUUAAGUGACAUAAUCUGAUGACGGUCAAUUUCUAAUUAGAAAUAAACCUAACAAUAAUCGCUAAAUGACGUGCAUUUCAUGAACCUAAAUCUAUAUGACAUGCAAAUGACACUUUUUAUUUUUAAAAUGCAAUCUAUCCUAGAAAUUGCAACUAAUUUAUCCUAAGCCAAAUUUUAUGAAAUUUGAAAUGAUCUAGCUAGAUUAAGAUUCUAUCUAAUUUAAAUUAGGGAUUAAGUCAUAUUAAAUCCUAAUUUAAACUAAAACAUUAUCUAAAUCUAAAAUGCAAUCUAUCUAAAAAAUAUGAUCUAAAUUUAAAAUGAAACAUGCAAUUCUAAUUUAAUAUGCACAAUGAUUUUUUUGUGUUUUUCUUUAAGAAAUUCGAAAUUAAAACUAACACGUAAUUAAACAUGCCAUUCAAAUAAAAAACUAACAACCUAAAUGAUUGCACUUUCUUUUUUCGGAUUUUUUAUUUAAAAAUUCAUAAUAAGAUUGCAAUCCUAAAUAUGCAAACUUAAUCCUAAUUAAGAUUUUUUUGAUUUUUUAUUUUACAAAAAUAAGAUUUGACUCAACCAACUUGACCAUAACAAAUCAAACAAGAUAAGAUUGAUAUCUAAAAAUUAGUGAACCAUAUCUCGCGCAUGAGAUCGGGUUGACCAAUUUUAAAUUAAAUCGCGAAUCGAAUCUCGGGCUUGAGAUUAGAUUGUCGAUUUUUAUAAGGGAUUGCGAGUCGGAUUUCGGGCGCGAAAAUCGGACUAUCAAUCCCUAGCUUGAGGGGCACUUUCAUGUUGGAAUCUCAAUCAAACAUUUAAGAGGAACAAUUCCACUAAACAAAACCAGAUAUAAAGAAAAAAAAAAACUAUAACUGGAUAAGCAAUAAUAAUAAAAUAGAAAAAAUCUACCUAAAUCCCUUUUCCUUUUUUUCUUUUUGUUUUUUCUUCUUUCCUUUCCCACGUGGAACUGUGGGUCUUCGAGGGCAAUCGGUUGAUCAGUCCGGCAAGAGGAACUCCGGCAAGGGUGAACCGGCGGUGGCUUCAUGGACAGAGGCGUAGGAUCGCUGGGAGGUCGAGCAAAGGCAGAGGCAGCAGCGACGGGUUCGGGGCCUGCUGGCGUCGAGCGAACCACCGGCUACAGGAGCGACUGGUCACGGACCGGCGCGGAGGUGCGGGCUACAGGGGACGUCGGGCCAUCGGAUGGGCGUAUGGUGGCUCAGGCUCUAGAUCUGGAGCGGUGCUGCGAGCAGGGGAUUCGGAUCCGAGCGGCGUCGGGGAACUCCGGUGACUUGCAGGCAAAAACGGGUCGCAGGCCGUGGGUCGUCGUUGGGGCUGAACAGAAGCGGAUCGUGGCGCGGGCUCUUGCGGGUCGCUCGGCGUCGCAGUUGAGGGAACCGAUUCGUGAGUAGCAGACGGCUAGGCGCGAGCUGUAGGCGAGACGGGCUGCUGGGCACCUGGGACGGGCGGAGUGACGCGGGCGGAGCAGGGGCAGGGCUCGGCGCGGCACGGUGGGCUCGGGCGGAGGCAGACUCAGGCGUCGGGGACUCGGGGCGGCGCGGCGGUUGCGGCUGACGGGACUGGCUUCGAGCUCCAGGCGGCGUCGGCGUCCGCGGUGAGGCGGUGUUCGCGGACAGAAGUUACAGAGGGGCGAGCGGCGAGGGAGACGAUGAACAGUGUCCCUCUGCCGCUUGUACUUUUUCCCUCUACUUUCCUCACCUGUCUCUCUCACGCCACCUUCCCUCUUUUCCUCUUUUCCUUUGACUUUUCCUUCUUUUUUCAACACACCUCCACGGACGGCUUCCCUUUUGGCCUUUUUCUGAUUUUUUUUUUCAAAGAAGCUCUCUCAAACCCCUCGCACGCACGGCCUUUUAUAGGGGAGGGAAUUGGAUUUUCAAAUUCUUCAUCGAAUCAACCUUCGCAAAUCUUUUUAACAAAAUUCAUCUCAUAUUGAUAAGAAUUCGAGAUCAAGAUGAAAUUUUUUCUAAAUCCAAAUCUUUUAAAGACAAAUCGCAAUAUUUUUUUACCCAUCUGCCCUAUCCAAAAAAGAUAUAUAUCUCGGAAAAUUUUUAAAAUAUUAUAUUCCCACAAGAUAAUUUUUAAUUAUUAAAAAGCACGGGCUUGGGCCAACCUGUUCGCUUCAUGGGCUUGAUCCAUCUAAUUUGAAUAUAUCCGCCACCGGUCCAAUAAAAUGUAAAAAAUGCAAAAAACAAAAUAAAUGCAACUUAAAUCUAUAUGCUAUGCAAUUAAUAAAAUUAACCCAUAAUUUCCUAUGUAAUAAAUAAAUAAACUAAAUCGUCAAAAUUUAGGUGUCAACAGUGUGAAAGGAUAACUUAUCAUAAAAAAUAAAAAUAAAAAAAGUCCGACAUAGAAGGCUCAUACCUAAGGGGGAGAUUUAUCGAGGUGCACUUGUGAGAGUGUAAUGCAAAAGAAGUCCCACAUUGGUGAUAUGAUGCAAAGUAAAGCCGUCAAUAUUAUUCAAGUGGAUCCGAUCAAAUAUAUGAAGGAUUCAAAAUUAAACUUUCCCUUGGCAAUCUCUAUAAGUAAAAAUAUCGUACUUUCACUGCACCUUCCAACAACUAGAAAGGGAUAUCUUUCAUAAGCAACAUAUGAACAACAUCAAAUAACAAUUUAUCACAUUAACAAUUUCAUUGUUCACAUCAUUGUUAAAGCACGUACAUCACAUUCAAUUUUAGCGAAAAAUAAAUAGUGCAUCAGAUUCAAAUUUUCAACUAAUAUAGUCUUCAAUAAAUUUGUAUCAACAUCAUAAGUUCUUCGCUUAUCUCUAGUAUCAUUCCACACUCUUUGCCUUUUCAACAUUGCGGAAGCAUGCAAAAAUGUUCUCACACGUGUUUGUAGGGAUAAAUACACUAGAAGUGUCAAAAGUUAUGUAUAACGCUCACUUUAGUAAAAGAAAUUUUCGUCAGCUCACUUAAAGGCUAAAUCAGAGAAAAAAUGAUCACUUAAGUGCCAACAGCGAGAAAUUCCAACCAAAUUGAUUACUUGUCAUUUAUAAUUAAAAUUAUAAUAUAACUUGGCAAUUUUUUAAAAAAUUCAAUCCACGUGAUAUUUCGACAUAGCAUACUUUGCACUGAAGUGAUCGCUUUUUAACAACGACUAGAGUCAAAGAGGAGGCCUUGUCAACUUUUCCAAGUCUCUAAUUGAUGGAAAUUUCUUGGAAUUCAAGACAACAUCAGCAGAGUGAAAGAUGAGGCCUUAUCAACUUUUCCAAGUCUCUAAUCGAGCGAAAUUUCUUGCACUUUUCGAUGAAAGUCUCGUCGAUCUUAAAUGCACGCUGAUCUUCUUGGUUCAAUGAAUUUGCGUUGAAUAUGGGUUGCAUCAUCUUAUUAUUCUUUAAUCCCACAUGUUUUUGCCGUUGCUUUGCUCUUUCCAGCAUGUAAAUGCUAUGUAAGACUAGCAUCUUAUAUAUAGUUAACAAUCUCAACCCUUGACAUUCCAACUUCAAGGCAAUCUAGUGAAAGAAAAAGAGAGAUCGUGUGUGGACCAAAAGCUUCAGGUGAUUAACCCAAGCAAUUUCGAAUUCACCCACAAGCUGCGAACAAUGCCAUCGAUCACAAGCCCAAGAAGAAGGUCGCCAUCCGCGCCGUUGNNNNNNNNNNNNNNNNNNNNNNNNNNNNNNNNNNNNNNNNNNNNNNNNNNNNNNNNNNNNNNNNNNNNNNNNNNNNNNNNNNNNNNNNNNNNNNNNNNNNCAAGAAGACCGACUCAUCCUAGCUUGGGCUUCUGUCACUUGCUUCGACGAGACACCAUUGCAUGUGGCCUGCAUGCUCGGUCAUGUACCUUUUGCCAAGGCUCUUUUGGCUCAUAAAAGGGAUUUGGCUAUGGAGUUGGACUCGCAGGUAUGUCGAAGUGAAAAACUUGGUUGUGAUUGUUUGAUAUUAGACUAUCUUGCUUGUCAAAUUAAAUUUUUGCACAUGUAAUGUAGUAUUUUGUUUUCCAGUUUUCAUGAUCCGUGAGAAAUCAAACCCAUCAUAUGUCUCAAGGAAAUUAACAAAAUUCAGACAGAAAUCAAGUUAUGGGUUUCCAGGUUAAUUCAACCUGAAAAAUCUUACCGACACUAGUGAAUUUGAGCAGCUCGGUCUAUUUGAUUUGAAAAUACAAUAUAUAUAAAUCACAUGAACGUGUCCCUCAAUAAGAAUUCUCCAUAGUCAAGCACUUUUACUUUGCAGGGACGCGUGCCUCUUCACUUGGUGUCUGCGAACGGAUAUGUUGAAAUAGCGAGGGAAUUGUUACAAUCAGACCCCCUUGCAUGCCUUGUCCAUGACGAAGAUGGGAGGACCCCACUCCAUCUAGCCACAAUGAAGGGCCGAAUCAACAUCGUGAUAGAGCUAGUGAAGGCGAGACCGGAGGUGGCCGAGCAUAAACUGAGCCACGGCCAAACCGCUCUCCAUCUAGGAGUGAGGCAUAAUCGUUUGGAGACUCUGAAAGUCCUAGUGGAGAUGGUGGGAGAUGGUGAUUUGGUGAACGCUCAAGAUGAUGAGGGUAAUACCAUUUUGCAUUUGGCCGCAGUAAACAAGCAAAUAGAGGUAAUCCUUUUUGCUUUGAAUUGCUUCAAUUUUGUGAUGACGUCAAAUAUCGCAUUCCAAUUGAACAUCUUGUGACGAUAAAAUCCGAUUCAUUCUCAUUUUUCUAUAGUGGAUUUAUCGAUUGAAGAAACUUAAAGGAAAUAUCUUUGUUUGUUGUUUCUUUUAUAAUUGAUAAGAAGCUCAUCUUUUUAUGCGGACAGUGAAAUAUCUGCUUCAAAGAAGUGAAGUGGAUGUGAACAUAGUGAAUAGAAAUGGCUUCUCUACUCUAGAUAUAGUGGAACAUUUUCCAAAGGAUUUCAAAGUCAUUGAAUUAAGAGAACUCUUAGUACAUGCUGGAGCUCUGAGAGCCAUAAGAUUCGGUGCAUCGACAACUCACCAAGCAGUUGUUGAUAACACAAAUGAGGAGAAUUCAACUGUUGUAGUUGACCUGGCAUCUGUAGCACCUCCCUCCACCAAUACUCCUCCAGUAAAUGUGUUUCCGCCAGAGUCUUUCUAGGGUGAUAUCAGGAAGCAGAAGGAAGACAAACACGAGGAAUGGAUCGAGAAGAAGCGACAUUCUCUGAUGGUAAUGCUUUAGCUAGAUGUCUUGGAGUAGCAUUUGCUGAAAAAUUAGACUAGAUCGGUCAUGUUAUUGCAAUUAACAUCAUAGCUCACCGCUAGUUAAUUUAAACUCUCUAUUUGUUUUAUGAAAAAUUGAUGAUUAAGAAAAUAUUUUCCUAAAAAUGAUCGUUUGUGUCAUUUAAAAUAAAUAGUUAUGCUUUCUUAAAAAUGUUUUCUACAUAUGUACUAAAUUGCUUAAAUGAAAUAGUUAUGUACAAAAAGAAGAUCAGUAAUUACAACAAUAGAUGGCUUAUGAUUUUAAAAAGGGAAAAAAAAAAAAAAACAGAGGGUAAUAUAAGAAAUCUAAUAAUGAGAAGGAUGAAACAAGUUGAUGAAUAUUUAAUGGUAUUUAAGAAAANNNNNNNNNNNNNNNNNNNNNNNNNNNNNNNNNNNNNNNNNNNNNNNNNNNNNNNNNNNNNNNNNNNNNNNNNNNNNNNNNNNNNNNNNNNNNNNNNNNNNNNNNNNNNNNNNNNNNNNNNNNNNNNNNNNNNNNNNNNNNNNNNNNNNNNNNNNNNNNNNNNNNNNNNNNNNNNNNNNNNNNNNNNNNNNNNNNNNNNNNNNNNNNNNNNNNNNNNNNNNNNNNNNNNNNNNNNNNNNNNNNNNNNNNNNNNNNNNNNNNNNNNNNNNNNNNNNNNNNNNNNNNNNNNNNNNNNNNNNNNNNNNNNNNNNNNNNNNNNNNNNNNNNNNNNNNNNNNNNCUUUUCUUUUUCUCCUUCUUCCUCUUGUCGGCAACCGGCCAAACAAGGGCCGGCAACCAUGUCGGAGCAUCGUCGGCCCCUGGCAAGGCCGAGCCUCGCUGCUUGAGCCUCCCCGGCCAGGCUCGACCUCACCCACGGCCGAGUGACGGGAGCCUCACUAGCGGUGGGGAAAUAAAUGUGUUUUAUUUUCCACACGUUUAGUUAUUAGAUUUUGAUUUUCUUUUAACAACAAUAGCAACCUUUAUAAAAAGACCUUCAAAUUUCGAAAUAUCUUUAUUUUUUUUUCUCAUAUAUGUGUAUAUUCAUACACUUAGUUUUUCAUAAUUUAAUCCAUGACCUCUAUUUCUGUAGAGAGCUUGCCACAAUUUUCUUGUUUUUUUUUUCAAUAAAUAUAGGAAAAGCCACCAAUUGAAUUUGUGUAGUUGUUGAAAUGACUAACUUUGACUUGACGAUCUUCAUAUUUUCAAAUAUAGGCGAAACACUAUUUCUUCAUUAGAAAUUUUAAAACUUUCUUUCACAUCACGACAGAUAAUUGCCACCGUGAUCGCAGCCAUGGCUUACCAAGCCGGCCUUAGCCCUCCCUGCGGCCUGUGGGACAACGAUCAGAAAGACGACAACGGCACCAUCUUAUACUACGCAGGAACAUCGAUAAUGGCUGCAAACCUUCCAGAGGGUUACGCAUCGUUCUGGAUAUACAACACCGUCUCUUUUCUUGCAUCCCUUAGCACGAUCGUCUUGCUCAUGAGUGGCUUGCCCUUGGGGAAGAAGGUUCUGAUGUGGAUUCUGACGGCCACAAUGUGGGUGACCAUCACUUUUAUGGCGCUGACUUACCUCAAUUCCAUGUCGGCCAUGUCGGCCAUGUCGUUCGUACUCAGAAAACCUAAACAUGGGAGCCCGAUCACAGAGGAUGGGUCGUACUCCAUGGAUAUGGGGUCGAUCAAAGUGGUUAAGUACUCCUUGUUUGUUUGGCUCGGCAUUGUAGCCACUGUUUCUCUAGUUCACACCGUUCGAUUCCUCACGAUCGUCCUCCAGAAUGUGAAAGAAUCGCAAAAGCUCAAGAAGUGGAUAUCAGGGUGUGUGAGUUGGUGCAGAUCUACGGGCAAUAUCAAGAUCUAGUGUAUUCAUCUGGUGGGACAAAGGAUUACUGCAUAGUCUUGAUGCCUGCGUUCUUUCUAACUUAAUCCCUAUGUCAUAAGAUCAUUCUGAGUACUGCUAGUUGUGCAAACGAUUUAAUGAGACUACUAAACCAAUCGCAGAGUCCAUCUCGCAUUAUUCUCGAGUUCUCCUCAUCACAGAUGUCUCGCCUGAAUAGCCAAAUCUUUCUAAAGAGAAUGGGAAGGCCUGGCCCCAAAGUAAUCUGAUCUACAGCAACAUUGGGCCAUUAUAUGAUUUGUCUCACACAGCUUCAGCACUCUCUUUCCAAUCACACCACACCAAACAACCGAACCCAGCUACCUCAAAAGCAUCCACACUUCUUUUAUGUUUCAUUCAUAUUCUUCUCCAAUGCUGAUAGAUGUCCAAAAGCCACCUGAUCAAAGCUAGUGAGCCUCUCUGUCUGAUCAAUUUCAACCCCAUGGCACCAAACCACAAUGCAGUCGCACCAUUUACAUGAACUUCUUACACUAUCUUUGCCUGCCUAAUUUUAAGGAAGCGAUACACAGAUUUCAAAGAAAACACUCCAUUAUUAUUCGCAGGCCGUGCAAGCUGAUCCUCCCUCAAAGGUCGGAAUCGAAGCAGCGCUAGUUUUAUAUGUAAUGUUCACAUACCAGAACGUGUGCUUCUUCUAAAACAACAUUCAAGCUCUGAUAUUAUAACCGCUUGCCAAAGGAUCUUUUCUUCUUUACAUAGACAAGUAGAGUAGGGACAAGGUAGAAACGGAACCCAAAAUCUCAUGGACCGAUCUGUUGUUCCUAAUCACAAGACAAAGGAUUGGUAGCGUAUCAUCCCAAACAAAACACAAAAAAUUACUGUUCAUAUGCAAACUGAUUACAGGGGAUGGAAGAACAGAGAGAUGAAAACAAUUGCAUAGACAGAUCUUUUGUACCUUAGACUGGUGAUAAUCAGUCCAUAACAAUUGGGAAGGUAAGAAAGUUCUCAAAGGCAGGAGCCAGCACUUUCAUCUGUCUUAGACAACCACAAUGUGUGGUUUCGAUCAGCAAGCCCACAACUAAGGCAGCUCAUAAACUUCACUCAACCCAGCUUGGCAAACCUAGCCUCUUUCAAGAAGAUCCGUUUCACAACCCCAACUUAACACAACCUGACGGUUUCAUUUGGGAGAAUAAUUUUGGGCUUGCGUAUGUGUGGGUUAAGAGCUGCCAAUUCCUUCCAUUUAGCAGCAGUUCCAUGAACACGGGAUGAGAUGCUCCACAGUGUGUCACCAAGCUGUGCCUUAGUUGUUGCUGGCGCAGUAGAUUUAGAAGAAGCAGUCUUUGACUUCAGAAACGGAUGCUUAUUGCUCUUUCCCAUUCCAUUAGCGAGCAACCAACGGGAACCAGAUUGUUGCUGGUUUGAACUUCCCCAGACCUUUCUCUUCCCAGGAUCAAAUAUGUUUAAUUAAUUCUAGAUUAUAAUUAUUUUACGCAUGGUUGUGAUACCCAAGCCGUGCAUCUACGACGACGUGGGAUUUAUAGAUUUUAAAUGAGAUGUGAUUUUAGAAGAGUUUAAGAUCAAACCAUCAUCUUCUAAUAAUUUAGAUAUGUCAAAAUGGAAUAUAGACUCAUUUUUUAACCAUAUUUGAUCGGUUGAAUGAUUAUAUGAACUAGUUAUAUUCACUGUGGGUUCAAAAUGGUAAAACUUAUAAUAAUAUAAGUGUUAAAUAGAUUCACAACUUAUUUGGAUCUAUUUCAUCUCUAUUACUUUCUUUUCAUUCUCUCGCUCUCACUUGAUCUCACGCUCGCUCACUCUUUACUCUCACUUUAGUUUGUGUAAUAGUUUUUUUUUUAAAUUGGUUAAAUAUAUAAGUGUUUUAGCAAUAUAUGUUGUGUUGUUCAUAGGUCACUAUAUUGUAUUACACGAAAAUAUGUCAAAGCGUGUUAAAUAUGUUAAAUAAAUCAAUUUAAAUCGGAUCAUUUUUUACCCUACUUAUUAUUUUGAUGGGUUUGUAAUAAUUUAAGGUUUUGCAUGGUUCAACAUGCAAUGUUUAACUAAUUGUUGAUUAGAUUCGGUUUUACGCAUGGUUUACACAUGCCGGGCGUCCACAAUGACGUGAGAUCUACAAAAAUUUAUAAACAGGGUGAGAGGAGAAAUAGAAGAAGUUAAGGAUUAAACCGUUCGUCUUGGAUUAUAUGUUCGUACGUAAACGAAAAUGGCCAAAUUGAAAGGUGAACGCGAUCUUGGGGAAACACGGGAAAAGGUCGAGACCGUUGACCGGUAACGAAACCGCGCCCCCGCUUCGUUUUUGACCCGCCGGGGGGAAUCGUACGACAGCCAGCGAGACCAAACCCGCGCGUGGCCCCACUCGCUGAGCAGUCCCCCUAAGUUGAAAUAAUUAAUUAAUGAAUAUAUUGUUUUACUAAUAAUAGUAAAUCUAUAAUUAAAUAUUUUUGUGAACAAUAAAAAUACAUUUUAAUUUAUUCAUUUUUAUAAAUGAAACGAAUAAUCAUUUUUAAGAAAAUAUUUUUCAAGCCGUUCAUUUUCUAUGAAAUAAUUAGGAAGCUAAAUGCAUUAUGUCAAAUCCCCAUAUAUGCAAAAGCCCGAGGUCUCAAGUUUGUCCGAGCAUACCGUGCUUGUAGAGAUGACGGCAAGCUGUAGCGCAGCUCAAAGGUGUGACAAUUUGCCAUUGGCAAGAACAGGGGCAAGCACGAAAGUUGGGUUCGGAGGUGGCUGUACAUAGAGAAGGAUGGAGGGAACAAAAUAUAUAUAUAUAUAGCCCUAAUUAGGGUUUUGUAAUAUUUCAGAUUGAGUGCGGAUGCGAUUAGAGUUAAGUGGACACAUGUCGCAAUCUCAAUACGAAGACUUCGAGCGUAUGCACAGUAGGAGGCAGCAAAUCAUGCGCCCGCUCCGAUCCGCCUACAACUCGCAAACUCGCGGCAACCGGUUGGCACGCCGUGGACUUUGACGACGCGUUCUUUACGGGAGUCGCUGGAAAUCUCUUUCGCUUUCGGCAGAUCCGCACAGCUAAUCGCGAGCUUAAAAUAUAAUAGAAGGUACGAGUCCCAUGCAUUGUUUUAUAUAAAAGAGGAAAACCCAUGCAAGUGAAAAGCACUUCUCCCAAUCGAUUCACACGUCUUUGCUCGUUCACGUGCAAAAAGGGGUGUGCCCGCCCUCCUUUUCGAUCCGAGUCUUGCGGGAUAAGAUGACAUUCUCGAGAAACGCAUACAAUAUUCUCCAAAUAAUCAUAUAUAUUUUUUGGGUUGAACGCGUGGAAUAUAACGAGGCAAUAUUUUAAAAGGGUAAAAAAGAAAUACAACCUUUUUUCUUUUAAUAUUAUGAUCUCAAGAAGAUCAUUUGUUUUUAAAUUUGAAAUUAUAUCCUUUGUACAUGCAACGUGAAAAGUAUGGAAUUAUAAAAGGGAACUUACUUAUUUAGUAUUCACUUUAAUAGAAAACUUCAUUACCACUUCGAGCAAUUGACUUGAUCCUAAGAAUUUCUUCCACACCAUGUGAAUAGUGCAUAUAAACCGAUUAAACAUACCCAAAGUUAAGUAAUCGUAAAGAAGAUAUACUUUUUCUAUUUCCCUAUAUAUGGUCUACUAAAGCUACAUUUCACUUUUACUCUAGGUUUUAGCUAUCAAAAAUGCAAAAUGAAAAAAGAGAAAAAAAAAAAAGUCCCAAUUAAACGUAAAUCACAUUUUUGAACACAUCCGCUCGUCCAAUGGUAUCGAAGUGCAAAUGGUUAUGUGUAGUGAAUCGGAUUACCAAUCAAGUAUUAUUAAAUUGGUUAUAUUAGCACGAUAAUGAUUAAACCAAGGGGGCCAAAGGAACAUGUCCGAAUCGAUAUUUUGAAUCUAUAUCAUGGCUCUGUGGAACGAGCAAAAUGCCAAAUUCCUUUCUAUGCAGACCCACUUCCCCCGACGUCGUGAGAGUGAUUGACCAAGCUCUUAAUUAGCGUUAUAGCCAAGCACAGUAAAACUGCAAUAAAAAUUAUUUUAUAGAAAAUGAAUAAUUUAAAAAUUAUUUUUUUAAAAGAUAAUCGCUUGCAAAAGAAAAUUGAAUGAAUAAAAAGUAUUUUCAUCAUUUGAGAAAAUAGCUAAACAAAAAUUGUUAUCAAUAAUGAAAACAUUUUCAUUAUAUGUUUUCAAAACGAUACAAGUGAUAAGUUUUUAAGAAAAUAUUUUUCAAAUCAUUUCUUUUUUGCGAAGCAAAUGAAUCCUUUUAGAAUCACUAAAACGCAAGAUUUUGCAUUCGAAUAAUUUUCUUUUAUAUAUGCGACAUCAAGCACCGAAAUUACCCAUGAUACUCUUGAAUAUAUCCAUUUAAAGGAGCCCCAGCACCUAGUCCCCACUGCCCAGUGCCUACAGCAAAAGCAUUUAUGCUCAACUUGGAGAGGUGAUGCAUUGGAGAGGUAAUUGCAUCGAAAUCAAUGUGAUGUUAAUCUUUCUAUUUUCCCCUUAAUUUUUGCUUUUAGCGAGAAAAUGCCAAAGAGCAUCGUCUUGAUAAUUUGUUCAUCAACUAUGUCUUAAAGAUUUGAUAUUUCUUAUUUGAAGCAAGAGACUUCAACAUAAUGUAUAAAUACUCUUCCAUUUUCAAAAGUGUCUUGGGUAGUGUGAUUUCCACUUUUAAUUAUAUUAACUCAUGCACUGGGAUACCUGCUAAUACGAUCCUUUUGCCAAAUUACACUACAUAUGGAUCUCGUGAGACGAGACAUGCCUCAGUGAAGAAUUGCGUCGAUUGUUUUGUCUAAAUUGACUUUUACUCUGUGUUUCAUUUGUUCACACUCAUAAUCCGUGGCCUGUAAAUUUUGAGCUUUUUACAAGUCUAAAAAGUAUAAUUUUUUUUACAAAAUGGCAAUUUGACGAAAAAAUUCACAUGUACUUUUUUGAAAUUUUUAAAAAUUGAAAUAAUACUUUAAAUUUUGGCAGAAAAACAAAAUGCUUUUUGCUAAAACACAAACAAGUAAGUCCUUUUGCUUAUUAUUUUUUACUUAAUCAAAUAUUGCGGCUCACACGCUUUAAAUACUUUUUAGUCCAAGAUGCUUGAAACUAUUACAAUGAAAUGUGGAUAUACAUAUAAUUUUUCCAUAACUUUUGAAAAUUCAGAUAAUUUAUUAGAUUUUGACCGAAAUUGAAAAACUACCUAUUGCUUUGGCAUUUCAAAUUUUUUAAAUAGUUGACAACACAUAAAUAUUCCAAAUCACUAUUAAGUGCUUUAUAAUCUUAAAUUGUCGAACUCAACGCUAUAUGAAAAUGACAUACAAAAUCAAUGGGAAAAUUCCAAAUAAGGGCAUGAAAUAAAUAUUUUUCUAAAUAAGAGCCUAAAGUGUCCUCAUUCUCAAAUAAGGGUUUAAAAAUGAUUUUAUUUCAAAUAAGAGCAUAAAAUAGCUAUGUUAAUUUCAAAAAAGAGCUUGACUUUCUAGUUUGACUUUCUAGUUGAACAAUGGCAUUUUGUCAUUUACCUUUUUUUCUAUUUUUCUUUCUUUUUUCCUUUUUUGCCAGUUUUCUCUUCCUUCUUCGUUGGUGGCCGGUACCCACCCACAAUGCCCAAAGAGGGCUAGGCGAGGGAGGGCCUUGCCUGGGGGAGGCGACCCUCGCUCUAUGUGAGGCCUCCCUCAAAAUCCAUAGGCGAGGGCCGCCCUCACCAAAUUUGGGCAAGGUCGCCUCGCCAGCGGGAUGGCCUUGCCUCAACAAGGUCGUCGAGCCCUAGCCAGUGCUUGCCAGGAAAAAAAAUAAAAAAGAGAGAGAAGAAAAAAUAAUUUCAAAUUAAAAUUUUCUUUUGAUGAAAAUACCCUUGAUCGUCUAGAAUAAAUCAGCGAGAUUAGGCCCUUAUUUGAAACUUCCAUGACCAUUUCAAACUCUUAUUUAAUACAAGGUCCACUUUAGGUCAUUAUUCGAGAAAUGAAGGUAUUUCAAGCCCUUAUUUAGAUUUUUUCUAAAAGUAAUUUCUAAAGUGAUGUGAUAGAUUGUAAGAGUCAAUUACGUAAGUUGAAAAAGAGUGGAAAUGUGACCAUCUCAUCAAUUCCCUUUGAGUGUUAGUGACUCACAACCCGUUACGAAAUAUGUAACGAAGCACAAACCACAGUCGGGGCCCUACGCCCUCAUGCUCCACACCCACUCGACGCGGAGGUGGACGGGAAUCGUCGUGCAUGGAAGACUACGCUUGUGUGCAUCGAAGACUGCGCCUUGUGGUCACACUCACCUUUAGGACAAAGCCAAGACCACAGUCGAGGCCCUACGCCCUCGUGCUCCACACCCACUUGACGCGGACGCAAGGAGGCCGAGGGAAAGAUGAAAAAAAAGACUGAGGAAGGAGGAAGAGGAGCGGCAUUGGCAAAUGUGUACAUACAAUAGAUACUGCCGUCGGAAAAAGUGGGGAAUAGUUACGCGAGAGACAUAAAAAUGGUACGCAAAUCGAUAUGAGUCGGUAGCGUGAGAAGGAUCAACAUCAUUGAGGCGGGGAAGUUCCAUUCUCUUUUCCCUCACUUCUAAUAUGUCAUCUGGACCUGGCUUAGCUUAAGUCCGAUAUUGUCAUACCCCAAGUAAGAAGUCUCUGUUUCGAGACUUGUAAAUUGCAUCGUCGAACUGAGUCGACCCUGAUUUCUACAGUUUGAGCAAUCAAGGGAGUUUAUCAAAUUGUCCGCAAACCAGUCCGACCAUCACAUACGUUCUUGUUCUUUUCACCUAUUCUUUCCAAGGACUAAAUCAAUAGAAGAACACAGAACUUUGAUCUUCUUGCAUUUGCAUGUGGAUUCUCAUUCCCUUAUCCUCUUUCAUCAAUUUAUGUACCUUCAGUGACGGAAUGAAAGACUACAGUUACAGUUCAGAGUCUGAUCAGCCAGGAGAUUUAUUCAAAGAUAAUCUCAUGAAUUUAGUGCACAGCUUUGUGCUUAAGUAGCUAAGCUUUUAUCUCUCCCCGACAGGUCGGUUACUCCAGUUUGUAUUCUGCAGGGAGUGUUCAUCGAUGUCGGUCAUAUCGCCUCUAUAGAAAACAAUCACAAACCCGUUAGACACUGCCAAGAACGGCCAGACGGUGGCCAUUAGGAUACGCUGUUUUCUAUCUUUGUAGUAUUGGUUUGUGGUUAUUCAGGGAAGACAUUCUUACCUGAUUGGAUGCUGUUCUUCUUUCCAGAUUGUCGGCCCAAAUGCAGAAUAGCUAGGGAAAGAUAUCCCGGCAGGCAUUUUGACUCAGAGGAGGAGCUUGUCAGUCACAUUUCGANNNNNNNNNNNNNNNNNNNNNNNNNNNNNNNNNNNNNNNNNNNNNNNNNNNNNNNNNNNNNNNNNNNNNNNNNNNNNNNNNNNNNNNNNNNNNNNNNNNNGAUACUCGGCAAAUUACAUGCACUUAGGAUAUCAUUAGCCUCAAGUGAUCUUUGAUCCGGGUCACCUAUGCCAACAUCCUCUAAUCACGUCUUUCAGAAAUUGUGCAAAAAUCUUUAUUAACUCUUUUAGGGUCGGUAUAGCUAAGUGGGAUAUCGAGAGAAUUCGGGUUUCGAAACUAGAGAUCUCUUAUUCCAAUCUUAGCAAUUAUCUAUGACACGUUCUAGAUCGAGGUCACGUAAACACACCUUCUUAAUCAAUUUAUGGUCUGACCCGAAGAAAAAAAAAAACCGACUUAUGAGCUUGAAGGGUAUUUCCUAACUAGAAUUCAGGUAGAAAAGUCUCCACAUAUGUGUCCCUGGAUUAUUAAAUAAAUUAUAUGAAAAAAUUAUAAUAUUGUGAUAAAGAUGAAAAUUUACAUCAAACAUUCGGAUGCAAAUAAGGGCGGACCAAAUUUUGAUCUCCACCGCUCAACGAAUCUGGUCGAAUUUCUUCGUUCUUUCGUCCUAAUAAACUGGUAGCUUGUCGGCAUUUCUUCCAUCGCAGCCGUUAAAUAAUGAGUACGAUGAUCCGGGUAGCACAAACCAUCGCAGCCGUUAAAUAAUGAGUACGAUGACCCAGGAACAGGAACAGGAAGUCAACAAGUCAACUCCGCGCGGGAAUCUUCUGAAUCAUGUGACUUUUUGACUUUUUAACCCCGCAUAUUACGGUAACACCACUUGUGAGAGGAGUGUACUCACUUCAAAUGAUAAAUUCCAGCAACUUCGAGUUCAACCCAAGCUGGGAAAAAUGCCAUCGAUCACAAGCCCAAGAAGGACGUCGCCAUCCCCGCCAUCGCAUCAACAAGCUUCCUUAGCAUUUGAAAGAAGACAACGAGAGAGGAGGCUCUAUGAAGCGUCGCAUGACGGGUGCGUCGAGUCGUUAGCUCAGUUGCUGCAAGAAGACCGACUCAUCCUGGCUCGGGCUUCUGUCACUUGCUUUGAAGAGACACCAUUGCAUGUGGCUUGUAUGCAAGGUCAUGUACAGUUUGCCAAGGAUCUUUUGGCCCAUAAAAGGAAUUGGGCUAUGGAGUUGGACUCGCAGGUAUGUCGAAGCGAAAACCUUGGUUGUGAUUGUUUGAUAUCCUUUUGUUAGAUCAAACCGAACCCAGUCAUCCUCACGAACCAGAUAAUCGGAGGAAUCGCAACUCUUUUGAUUUGGUUUUUGCAAGUUUUAGGCUUUUAGCCAUGUGUAAAGUAAUUUAUAAACUAUAUUUCCAUGGAAUAUCUCUACAUAGAUCACACUAUCUUGCUUGUCAAAUUAGAUUUUGCACAUGUAAUGUAGCAUUUUGUUUUCCAAUUUUCAUGAUUUGUGAGAAAUUAAACUCAUCAUAUAUCUCAAGGAAAUUAACAAAAUUCAGACAUAAAUCAAGUCAUAGAUUUCCAGGUUAAUUCAGCCUGAAAGAUCUUACAAACACCAAUGAAUUUGAGUAUCUUGGUCUAUUUAAUUUGAAAAUGCGAUAUAUAAAUCAUAUGAACGUGUCCCUCAAUAAGAAUGCUCCAUAGCUAAGCACUUCACUUUUGCAGGGACGUACGCCUCUUCACUGGGCAUCUGCAAACGGAUACGUUGAAAUAGCGAGGGAAUUGUUACAAUUAGACCCCCUUGCAUGCCUUGUCCAUGACGAAGAUGGGUGGACCCCACUUCAUCUAGCCACAAUGAAGGGCCGAAGCAACAUCGUGAUAGAGCUGGUGAAGGCGAGACCGGAGGCAGCUGAGCAUAGGUUGAGCCACGGCCAAACUGCUCUCCAUUUGGGAGUGAGUCAUAAUCGUUUGGAGGUUCUGAAAGUCCUGGUGGAGACGAUGAGAGAUGGUGAUUUGGUGAAAGCUCAGGAUGAUGAGGGUAAUACCAUUUUGCAUUUGGCCACAGCAAACAAGCAAAUAGAGGUAACCCUUUUUGCUUCAAAUUGCUUCAAAAUUGUGACAACCUUAGAUAUCACGUUCCAAUUGAACAUUUUAUGCAUUCAAACUUCAGUGGAUUUAUCGAUUGAAGUAACUUACAGGAGAUAUCUUUGUUUGUUGUUUCUUUUAUAAUAGAUAAAAAGCUCAUCUUUUUGUGCAGACAGUGAAAUAUCUGCUUCAAAUAAGCGAAGUGGAUAUGAACACAAUGAAUAGAAAUGGCUUCUCUGCUAUGGAUAUAGUGGAAUAUUUUCCAAAGGAUUUCAAAGUCAUUGAAUUUAGAGAACUGUUAGUACAUGCUGGAGCUCUAAGAGCCAUAAGAUUCCCUGCAUCGACAACUCACCAAGUAGUUAUUGAUAACAGAAAUGAGGAGAAUUCAACUGUUGUAGUUGACCUAGCAUCUGCAGCACUUCCCUCCACCAAUACUCCUCCAUUAGAGGCGGUUCUACCACCAUCUUUCUCUGGUAAAAUCAAGAAGCAAAAGGGAGACAAACACGAGAAAUGGAUCAAGAAGAAGCGCGAUUCUCUGAUGGUAAUGCUUUAGCUAGAUGUCUUGGAGUAGCAUUUGCUGUAAACUUAGAUCAGAUUGCUUAUGUUAUUGCAAUUAACAUCAUAGCUCACAGCUAGUUAAUUUAAAGUCUCUAUUUGUUUCAUGAAAAAUGGAUGAUUAAAAAAAUAUUAUUAUAAAAAUAAUCAUUUGUAUCGCUUAAAGUAAAUAGUUAUGCUUUCUUAAAAAUGUUUUCUACGUAUGUACUAAAUUGCUCAUAAUUAAAUAGCUAUGUAUAGAAAGAAGAUCAGUAGUUACAAUAAUAGAUGGCUUAUGAUUUUUUUUUUAAAUAAUAGAGGGCAAUAUAAUAAAUCCAAUAGUGAGAAGAGACGAAGCAAGUUGAUGAAUAUUUAAGAAAAUAAUGGUACUUAAUCUAAAUGUGAAGCAGUUGGGUGAUUUUCUUUAAAUAUCUAUACUAUUACAUAAAGUAAAGAGGAUUUCUAAAAAAACUCAAUCUUUUGUCUUCUCCAAAUAUCCUCAAUGACUCGGGGUCUGUUUGGUAACCAUUAUCUUUCCGGGAACAAUUUUUGCUUAAAAAUGAUUUUUAUUUUAUUUUGUUCCCUAGACAGUUUUUAAAGGCAUUUUGUAACUAUCCAAAAUUUAUAUUCUCAGUAUAGAAAUGCAUUUGAUAAGUAUUUUAUAUUUUCCUCUUUUUUUCUUUUUCUCAUUCUUCUUCUUGCCAACAAUCGGCCAAACGAGGGCCAGCAACCUCUUUAGAGUGUCACUAGCCCAUGGCAAGGCCGAGCCUUGCCAAUUGAGCCUCCUUGGUGGCUAGGCGAGGCUUGGCCUCGCCUUANNNNNNNNNNNNNNNNNNNNNNNNNNNNNNNNNNNNNNNNNNNNNNNNNNNNNNNNNNNNNNNNNNNNNNNNNNNNNNNNNNNNNNNNNNNNNNNNNNNNGAAUACCGGGUAGAUAAAUUCUUAAUUAAUUAGUAAUGGCUUCACAGUUCUUAAGCUGAAUUUGAAACAUGACUACAUAACUUAGCUCCUAUAUAUGCAGGGUGGCUUGACUAUGGAAGACUGGAAGCCGGAGGCUAAGCUGAAGACCCUCUUCAAAACCCACCGAAUCCAUCUGCCAACAGCCUGUGCACAGUACCAUCUUCUAAUGCAACUUCUCGAGUCUUUGUCAUCUACAACUACGUAGACCAAGAAGUCUCAAACUCAAAGAUUCUCGACCUUUUUCCAGUGAAGAAAAUCGACUGCUUUAGCACUGAACUUUCUCAUUGGAUUCAAGAGGAGCACGAUCCUCGUUGCUUACACACCAGAGAGCGUUUGCCACAUCUGAUGAGGCCGACAGCGACAUUGGUUAACGCCCAAUAAUCACGUCGAAGGGAAUGUUUAGAUGAAUAGUCAUCUUUAGACUCAUCUAAUCCUUUGACCAUGUGAAAGAGAGACUCAACUGCUCCACAAUGUUACUGUUUUUCAAAUAGAUUAUUAGGAGACCUUCCAACAAAACUAAAUCUUUGAUAAUUGAGGUUACGAUUGGUAGUAGUGAUAAUAAGCUUCUCUACUUUUAUAGUUGGUAAUAGCAAAAAUGAACUGUGCCUUUGCGCUCGUGUCUUGGAUUAUGAAAGAACUUAUUUUAAGAAAGAUUUAAUUUUCUAUCGGGUCAAAUUUUAAGAAAGUUUAGCUUCAUUCUAUAGAUGGAGAGCAUACUCGGCAAAUUACAUGCACUUAGGAUAUCAUUAGCCUCAAGUGAUCUUCGAUCCGGGUCACCUAUGCCAACAGCCUCUAAUCAUGUCUUUCAGAAAUUGUGCAAAAAUCUUUAUUAACUCUUUUAGGGUCGGUAUAGCUAAAUGGGAUAUCAAGAGAAUUCAGGUUUCGAAACUAGAGAUCUUUUAUUCCAAUCUUAGCAAUUAUCUAUGACACGUUCUAGAUCGAGGUCACGUAAACACACCUUCUUAAUCGAUUUAUGGUCUGACCCGAAGAAAAAAAAAACCGACUUAUGAGCUUGAAGGGUAUUUCCUAACUAGAAUUCAGGUAGAAAAGUCUCCACGUAUGUGUCUCUGGAUUAUUAAAGAAAUUAUAUGAAAAAAUUAUAAUAUUGUGAUAAAGAUGAAAAUUUACAUCAAACAUUCGGAUGCAAAUAAGGGCGGACCAAAUUUUGAUCUCCACCGCUCAACGAAUCUGGUCGAAUUUCUUCGUUCUUUCGUCCUAAUAAACUGGUAGCUUAUCGGCAUUUCUUCCAUCGCAGCCGUUAAAUAAUGAGUACGAUGACCCAGGAACAGGAACAGGAAGUCAACAAGUCAACUCCGCGCGGGAAUCUUCUGAAUCAUGUGACUUUUUGACUUUUUAACCCCGCAUAUUACGGUAACACCACUUCUUCUUCUUUUUUAACGGUAACACCACUUGUGAGAGGAGUGUAAUCACUUCAAAUGAUAAAUUCCAGCAACUUCGAGUUCAACCCAAGCUGGGAAAAAUGCCAUCGAUCACAAGCCCAAGAAAGACGUCGCCAUCCCCGCCAUCGCAUCAACAAGCUUCCUUAGCAUUUGAAAGAAGACAACGAGAGAGGAGGCUCUAUGAAGCGUCGCAUGACGGGUGCGUCGAGUCGUUAGCUCAGUUGCUGCAAGAAGACCGACUCAUCCUGGCUCGGGCUUCUGUCACUUGCUUUGACGAGACACCAUUGCAUGUGGCCUGUAUGCAAGGUCAUGUACAGUUUGCCAAGGAUCUUUUGGCCCAUAAAAGGAAUUGGGCUAUGGAGUUGGACUCGCAGGUAUGUCGAAGCGAAAACCUUGGUUGUAGUUGUUUGAUAUCCUUUUGUUAGAUCAAACCGAACCCAGUUAUCCUCACGAAUCAGAUAAUCGGAGGAAUCGCAACUCUUUUGAUUUGGUUUUUGCAAGUUUUAGGCUUUUAGCCAUGUGUAAAGUAAUUUAUAAACUAUAUUUCCAUGGAAUAUCUCUACAUAGAUCACACUAUCUUGCUUGUCAAAUUAGAUUUUGCACAUGUAAUGUAGCAUUUUGUUUUCCAAUUUUCAUGAUUUGUGAGAAAUUAAACUCGUCAUAUAUCUCAAGGAAAUUAACAAAAUUCAGACAUAAAUCAAGUCAUAGAUUUCCAGGUUAAUUCAGCCUGAAAGAUCUUACAGACACCAAUGAAUUUGAGUAUCUUGGUCUAUUUAAUUUGAAAAUGCGAUAUAUAUAAAUCAUAUGAACGUGUCCCUCAAUAAGAAUGCUCCAUAGCUAAGCACUUCACUUUUGCAGGGACGUACGCCUCUUCACUGGGCAUCUGCAAACGGAUACGUUGAAAUAGCGAGGGAAUUGUUACAAUCAGACCCCCUUGCAUGCCUUGUCCAUGACGAAGAUGGGUGGACCCCACUUCAUCUAGCCACAAUGAAGGGCCGAAGCAACAUCGUGAUAGAGCUGGUGAAGGCGAGACCGGAGGCAGCUGAGCAUAGGUUGAGCCACGGCCAAACUGCUCUCCAUUUGGGAGUGAGUCAUAAUCGUUUGGAGGUUCUGAAAGUCCUGGUGGAGACGAUGAGAGAUGGUGAUUUGGUGAAAGCUCAGGAUGAUGAGGGUAAUACCAUUUUGCAUUUGGCCACAGCAAACAAGCAAAUAGAGGUAACCCUUUUUGCUUCAAAUUGCUUCAAAAUUGUGACAACCUUAGAUAUCACGUUCCAAUUGAACAUUUUAUGCAUUCAAACUUCAGUGGAUUUAUUGAUUGAAGUAACUUACAGGAGAUAUCUUUGUUUGUUGUUUCUUUUAUAAUAGAUAAGAAGCUCAUCUUUUUGUGCAGACAGUGAAAUAUCUGCUUCAAAUAAGAGAAGUGGACAUGAACACAAUGAAUAGAAAUGGCUUCUCUGCUCUGGAUAUAGUGGAAUAUUUUCCAAAGGAUUUCAAAGUCAUUGAAUUGAGAGAACUGUUAGUACAUGCUGGAGCUCUAAGAGCCAUAAGAUUCCCUGCAUCGACAACUCACCAAGUAGUUGUUGAUAACAGAAAUGAGGAGAAUUCAACUGUUGUAGUUGACCUAGCAUCUGCAGCACUUCCCUCCACCAAUACUCCUCCAUUAGAGGCGGUUCCGCCACCAUCUUUCUCUGGGAAAAUCAGGAAGCAGAAGGGAGACAAACACGAGAAAUGGAUCAAGAAGAAGCGCGAUUCUCUAAUGGUAAUGCUUUAGCUAGAUGUCUUGGAGUAGCAUUUGCUGUAAACUUAGAUCAGAUUGCUUAUGUUAUUGCAAUUAACAUCAUAGCUCACAGCUAGUUAAUUUAAAAUCUCUAUUUGUUCAUGAAAAAUGGAUGAUCAAAAANNNNNNNNNNNNNNNNNNNNNNNNNNNNNNNNNNNNNNNNNNNNNNNNNNNNNNNNNNNNNNNNNNNNNNNNNNNNNNNNNNNNNNNNNNNNNNNNNNNNNNNNNNNNNNNNNNNNNNNNNNNNNNNNNNNNNNNNNNNNNNNNNNNNNNNNNNNNNNNNNNNNNNNNNNNNNNNNNNNNNNNNNNNNNNNNNNNNNNNNNNNNNNNNNNNNNNNNNNNNNNNNNNNNNNNNNNNNNNNNNNNNNNNNNNNNNNNNNNNNNNNNNNNNGAUUUUCUUUAAAUAUCUAUACUAUACAUAAAGUAAAGAGGAUUUCUAAAAAAACUCAAUCUUUGUCUUCUCCAAAUAUUCUCAAUGACUCGGGGUCUGUUUGGUAACCGUUAUCUUCCCGGGAACAAUUUUUGCUUAAAAAAUGAUUUUUAUUUUUAUUUUGUUCCCUAGACAGUUUUUAAAGGCAUUUUGUAACUAUCCAAAAUUUAUAUUCUCAGUAUAGAAAUGCAUUUGAUAAGUAUUUUAUAUGUUCCUCUUGUUUCCUUUUCUUUUUCUCAUUCUUCUUCUUGCCAACAAUCGGCCAAACGAGGGCCAGCAACCUCUUUAGAGUGUCACUAGCCCAUGGCAAGGCCGAGCCUUGCCAAUUGAGCCUCCUUGGUGGCUAGGCGAGGCUUGGCCUCGCCUUAGUUGGGCGAGCUCGGCCUCGCCCAUGGCUAGGUGACACGAGCCUUGCCGGCAGCUUGAUGAGGGUGAGCCUUGCCAACAGCGAGAAUAUAAGUGUGUUUUAUUUUCCACACAUUUAGUUAUUAGAUUUUGAUUUUCUUUCUAACAACAACAGCAACCAUCAUAAAAAGACGUUCAAACUUCGAAAUAUCUACAUUUUUUUUUCUUCAUAUAUGCGUAUAUUCAUACACUUAGAUUUUUCAUAAUUUAAUCCAUGACCUCUAUUUACGUAGAGAGCUCGCCACAAUUUCCUUGUAUUUCAAUAAAUAUAGGAAAAGCCAUCAAUUGAAUUUGUGUAUUUGUUGAAAUGACUAACUUUGACUCGAUGAUCUUCAUAUUUNNNNNNNNNNNNNNNNNNNNNNNNNNNNNNNNNNNNNNNNNNNNNNNNNNNNNNNNNNNNNNNNNNNNNNNNNNNNNNNNNNNNNNNNNNNNNNNNNNNNUGCGUAUAUUCAUACACUUAGAUUUUUCAUAAUUUAAUCCAUGACCUCUAUUUACGUAGAGAGCUCGCCACAAUUUCCUUGUAUUUCGAUAAAUAUAGGAAAAGCCAUCAAUUGAAUUUGUGUAUUUGUUGAAAUGACUAACUUUGACUCGAUGAUCUUCAUAUUUUCAAAUAUAGGUGAAACACUUUCUUCAUUCGCAAUUUUAAAACUUUCUUUCACGUCACAGCAGAUAAUUGCCACCGUGAUCACAGCCAUGGCUUACCAAGCCGGCCUUAGCCCUCCCUGCGGCCUGUGGGACAACGAUCAGAAAGACGACAAAGGCACCAUCUUAUACUACGCAGGAACAUCGAUACUGGCUGCAAACGAUCCAGAGGGUUACCCAUUGUUCUGGCUAUGCAACACCGUCUCUUUUCUUGCAUCCCUUAGCACGAUCUUCUUGCUCAUGAGUGGCUUGCCCUUGGGGAAGAAGGUUUUGAUGAGGGUUCUGACGGGCACAAUGUGGGUGACCAUCACUUUCAUGGCAAUGACUUACCUCGAAUCCAUGAUGGCCAUCUCGUUCGUACACAGGGAACCUAAACAUGUGAGCCCGUUCACAGAGGAAUGGUACUCCGAGGAUGGGGGGUCGAUUACAGUGGUUAUGUACUCCUUGUUUGUUUGGCUCGGCAUUGUAGCCAUUGUUUUUCUAGUUCACACUGUUCGAUUCCUUGCGUUCGUCUUCCGGAAUGUGAAAGAUCCGCAAAAGCUCAAGAAGUGGAUAUCAGGGCGUGUGAGUUGGUGCAGAUCUAGGGGCAAUAGCAAGAUCUAGUGUAUUCAUCUGGUGGAACAAAGGAUUACUGCAUAUUCUCGAUGCCUAUGUUCGUUCUAACUUAAUCCCUAUGUCAUAAGAUCAUUCUGAGUACCGCUACUUGUGCAAACGAUUUAAUGUGACUACCAAACCAAACGCAGAGUCCAUCUCGCAUUAUUCUCGAGCUCUCCUCAUCAGAGAUGUCUCGCCCAUGUAGCCGAAUCUUUCUAAAGAGAAUGGGAAGGCCUGGCCACAAAGUAAUCUGAUCUACUCCUAUGUAUGCCGCAAAUUAGUAGGUAAAAGCAACAUUGGGCCAUUCUAUGAUUUGUCUCACACAGCUUCACCAUUCUCUUUCCAAUCACACCAAACAACCUCACCCACCUUCCUCAAAAGCAUCCGCACUUCUUUUAUGCUUCCUUCAUAUUCUUCUCCAAUGCUGAUAGAUGUCCAAAAGCCAUCUGAUCAAAGCUAGUGAGCCUCUUUGUCAGAUUAAUUUCAACCCCAUGGCACCAAACCUUAAUGCAGUCACACCAUUUACAUGAACUUCCUACACUAUCUUCCCUGCCUAAUUUUAAGGAAGUGAUACACAGACUACACAGAAAACAGUCCAUUAUUAUUCGCAGGCCAUGCAAGCAUCGUACAUAACUUUUGAGAUUUUUAGUGUACUUAUCCCCAUGUUUGUAUCACCGCUCUGCUCUUGCCAAUAUGUAAAUGUGUUAGAAUUUUUUUGGAUGUGUGCGGAAGCAUGGUUUUAGUUAUGGAUGAUAGUUUUUUAUUAGUGAUGUUGUGUGCAAGUGUAUGAUAUAGUUUGUAGAGGAUGGACAAGGGACAAGGAUAGGAUAUUUUGAGAAGGUUUAUGGGACAAAAAUAGUUUCAUUAGUUGGAUAAAAUAAUUUUACAAUAGUUGUAGGAGGUGUUGGUGAGGGAGCUACAUGAUAUGGAGUAUGUUCUCAUGCUCCUCUCAUGGUGGAGGUAUAAACCUCACACACUAGGUGGAGGGUUUACCUCUCACUCACUAAAAUGAAUGAACUACAAGCCUAUUUAUAGGCAUGAGUCACACCUUAGUACAACAUUCUAGAUUUCUAUAGAAUGUUGUCCAUGUAGGCUUCAUCUAGGUAAUUCUAGAUUGUAGUUCUUCUAGAGACUUCUACAUUUUCUUAGACACAUAAGCUUGUAGACAAUUCUAGAAUUUUUCUUGAAUCUUCUAGCUCAAAACUAUCUUGAAGUUUCUAGAAUUGGAUCACAAACUCCAACAAAAUGCUUACAUAAGACUCAUGUUUUAUCAUCUUAUAUAUAGUUAACAAUCUCAACCUUUGACAUUCCAACUCCAAGAGAAGUCUAGUGAAAGAAAAAGAGAGAUCGUGUACCUCACGAGAGGAGCAGAAUCACUUCAAGUGAUUAACCCGAGCGAUUUUGAGUUCACCCACAAGCUGGGAACAAUGCCAUCGAUUGCAAGCCCGAGAAGAAGGUCGCGGUCUCUGCCAUCACAUCAACAAGCUUCCUUAGCAUUUGAAAGAAGACACCAAGAGAGGAGGCUCUAUGAAGCGUCGCUUGGCGGGUGCGCCGAGUUGUUAGCUUAGUUGCUGCAAGAAGACCGACUCAUCCUGGCUCGGGCUUUGGUCACUUGCUUUGACGAGACACCAUUGCAUGUGGCCUGCAUGCUCGGUCAUGUACACUUUGCCAAGGCUCUUUUGGCUCAUAAAAAAGGAUUUGGCCAUGGAGUUGGACUCGCAAGUAUGUCAAAGAGAAAACCUUAGUUGUGUUUGUUUGAUAUCCUUUUGUCAAAUCAAACUGCACCAGUCAUCCUCGCGAACCAAAUAAUCGAUGGAACAGCAACUGUUUUGAUUCGGUUUUUGCAAGCUCUAGGCUUUUAGCCAUGUGCAAAAUAAUUUAUUGACUAGAGUUCGAUGGAAUAUCUCUACAUAGAUCAGACAAUCUUGCUUGUCAAAUAAGAUUUUGUACAUGUACUAUCGCGUUUUGUUUUUCUGUUUCCAUGAUAUGUGAGAAAUCAAACCCAUCAUAUAUGACGGAAAUUAACAAAAUUCAGAUAGAUAUCAAGUCAUAGAUUUCACGGUUAAUUCAGCUUGAAAGAUCUUACAAACAACGGUGAAUUUGAGUAGCUCGGUCUGACAUAUAUAUAAAAUAUAUAAUACAAUACAUAAUAUAUAAUGCGAACGUCUCCCUCAAUAAGAAUGUUCCUAGCUAAGUACCUUUCUUUCGCAGGGACGUACGUCUUUUCACUUGGUGUCUACAAACGGAUACGUAGAAAUAGUGAGGGAAUCAUUACAAUCAAACCCCCUUGCAUGCCUUGUCCAUGACGAAGAUGGGAGGACUACACUUCAUCUGGCCAUGAUGAAGGGCCGAAUUAACAUCGUGAUAGAGCUGGUCAAGGUGAGACUGGAGGCGGCUGAGCACAGGCUGAGCCACGGUGAAACGGCUCUCCAUCUGGGAGUGAAGCAUAAUCGUUUGGAGACUUUGAAAGUUCUAGUCGAGAUGGUGACAGAUGGGGAUUUGGUGAAUGCUCAAGAUGAUGAGGGUAAUACCAUUUUGCAUUUGGCCGCUGCAAACAAGCAAAUUGAGGUAAUCCUUUUUGCUUUGAAUUGCUUCGAAAUUGCAAUGACAUCAAACAUCGCAUUCCAUUUGAACAUUUUGUGAAGAUAAAAUUUGGCUCAUUCUCAUUUUUCUGUAGGCUCAAGGUUUCUACAUUCAAACUUUAGUGGAUAUAUCGAUUGAAGAAACUUACAGGAAAUAUCUUUGUUUCUUGUUUCUUUUAUAAUUUAUAAGAAGCCCAUCUUUUUGUACAGACAGUGAAAUAUCUGCUUCAAAGAAGUGAAGUGAAUGUGAACACAAUGAACAUAAAUGGAUUCUCUGCUUUGGAUAUAGUGGAACAUUUUCCAAAGGAUUUCAAAGUCAUUGAAUUGAGAGAACUGUUAGUACAUGUUGGAGCUUUGCGAGCCAUAACAUUUUUUGCAUCAAGAACUCACCAAGCGGUUGUUGAUAACACAAAUGAGAAGAAUUCAACUAUUGAAGUUGACAUCAUAUCUAUAGCACCUCCUCCGGGUGAGGCGGUUCCACCACCGUCUUUCUCGGGUGAAAUUAGGAAGCAAAAGGAAGAUAAACACAAGAAAUGGAUCAUGGAGAAGCUUAAUUCUCUUAUGGUAAUGCUUUAACUAGAUGUCUUGGAGUAGCAUUUGCUGAAAAGUUAGAUCAAAUUAGUCAUACUAUUGGAAUUAACAUCAUAGCUCACAGCUGGUUAAUUUAAACUCUCUAUUUGUUUCAUAAAACAUGGAUGAUUCAGAAAAUGUUUUUUUCCUAAAACUAAUCACUUAUAUCGCUUAAAAUAAAUAAUUAUGCUUUCUCAAAAAUGUUUUCUACACAUGUAGUACAUGUGCUCAUAAUUAAAUAGUUAUGUACAGAAAGAAGGUGAGCAGUUAUAUUAAUAGAUGGCUUAUUAUUAUUAUUAUUAUUAUUAUUAUUAUUAUUAUUAUUAUUAUUAUUAUUAUUAUUAUUAUUAUUAUUAUUAUUAUUAUUAUUAUUAUUAUUAUUAUUAUUAUUAUUAUUAUUAUUAUUAUUAUUAUUAUUAUUAUUAUUAUUAUUAUUAUUAUUAUUAUUAUUAUUAUUAUUAUUAUUAUUUUUAUUUUUUUUUAUUUUUAUUAUUUUAAACUGAGGGUAAAAUAAGAAAUCUAAUAUUGAGAAGAGAUGAAACGAGUGGAUGAUUAUUUAAGAAAUUAAUGGUAAUUUAGAAAUCUAAAUGUGAAGCAGUUGGGUGAUUUUCUUUAAAUGUGUGUUAAUACAUAAAGUAAAGAGGAUUUUUAAGCGACUCAAUCUUUUCUCUUCUCCAAAUAGUCUCAACUACUCGUUAGAUAUAUAUUGUAUCAAUGGACAAAUACAUAUACAAGUAAGAGUGUUUUAUUUUCCACACAUUUAGUUAUUAGAUUUUGAUUUUCUUUCUAACAACAAUAGCAACCUUUAUAAAAAGAAGUUCAAAUUUUGAAAUAUCUUCAUUUUCUUUUCUCAGAUAUGUGUAUAUACAUACACUUAGUUUUUUCAUAAUUUAAUCCAUGACCUCUAUUUCUGUAGAGAGCUUGCCACAAUUUUCUUGUUUUUUUCAAUAAAUAUAGAAAAAGCCAUCAAUUGAAUUUGCGUAUUUGUUGAAAUGACUAACUUUCACUCGACGAUCUUCGUAUUUUCAAAUAUAGGUGAAAAAUUAUUUCUUCAUUCGCAAUUUUAAAACUUCCUUUCACGUCACGACAGAUAAUUGCCGCUGUGAUCGCAACCAUGGCUUACCAAACCAGCCUUAGCCCUCCCGGCGGCUUGUGGAACGACGAUCAGAAAUACCAAAGCGGCACCAUCUAUUACUACGCGGGAACAUCGAUAAUGGCUGCAAACAAUCCAGAGGCUUCCCCAUUUUUUUGGACAUGCAACACAGUCUCUUUUCUUGCAUUCCUUAGCACGAUCUUCUUGCUCAUUGAGUGGCCUGCCCUUGGGGAAGAAGGUUCUGAUGUGGAUUCUGACGGCCACAAUAUGGAUGACCAUCACUUUCAUGGGGCUAACUUACGUCUAUUCCAUGACAGGCAUCUCGUUCGUACAGAGGGAACCUAAAGAUGGGAGCCCGACCACAGAGGUUUGGUACUCCGCGGAUUAGGGGACGAUCAUGGUGAUUAGACGCUACUUGACUGUUUGGUCUGCCAUUGUAAACAUUGUUUUUCUAGUUCACACCGUUCGAUUCCUCACAAUCGUCCUCCGGAAUGUGAAAGAUCCGCAAAACCUCAAGAAGUGGAUAUCAGGGUGGGUGAGCUGGUACAUAUCUAGGGGCAAUAUCAAAAUCUAGUGUAUUCAUUGUUGGAGAAAUCUUUCCAAAAUAUUUUGAAGCUGACAAAACGUUUCUAUCAGUCUAGUCUGGAUAAGUACAGAUCUUCUGUUUAGAGUCUGAAGACUUUCAGAUCACCAGACUCAAGACUCAAGACUCGAGACUCAAGACUUAAGACUAUUCUCAUUGACAGUGUUUCUAAUCUAGUGACGAAGGCAAUCCAGAGCCAAAGUAUUUGGUUCAGGAUUUGGUCUUAUCCUCUGGAGAAGAUCUCUUGGCUGGAUAAAUAUAACGGAUUCUUUUAUUCGUAAUCAAGAUCGUUUGAAGAUCCGAUGGUCGAUGAAUUAUUCUUGGAAGGUUCUAUUCUUGGAAACCAAGAUCCUGAUUGUAUGGGCGAACAUGAUUGAUGGGCUAUCGUCAGGUUCCUUUAAUAGCUCGAAUGAUCUUCUUGAUUGAUUCCGUCCAACGGGUAGAUUGGAGGAAUUCCUUUGGUAAGUGCCAACGGAUAUGAUGGCAUAAAGGAGUAUAAAAAGAAGACAUUCUAGUUGCUUUAGUGCAUGAUCGAUAGAGAAAUUCCAGAGUCUGAAGUACCUUGAUUAUUAGUCGAUACAUUCUGAGCAAAAUUGUACACACAGAGAGUGUCUAUACUUAGUGAUACCUUGAACGAGUGUGGUAGAUCAUCUACACCGAGAAAGCAAGGGAGAACAACACUGUAACAUCUCUUUGUUCAUAGUGGAAUCCAGCCAAUAGGCUGUCAGUGCAGAAGAGUGGACGUAGGCUUGACAUAAGCCGAACCACUAUAAACCGCGUGUUUCUCUUCUCUCAGUCUUACUUUGAUUAUCGAUUGUCUCAAAUCCAUCAACUGUCUAGUAUUGUGCAAUUAUCGAGAAAAAUCUUUUAUAUACCUAUUCACCCCCCUUUAGGCACUUAUACUAGCUAUAUUAAUUGGUAUCAGAGCCUGUGUACUUACUUUAUUUGAAGUGUUUUACUUCGUAGUAAAAGAUCCAUGGCUAGUAUGCUAGCACCAGGGCUGAUGGAAGGGCAAAGCAAUACCAGACCACCCUACUUUGAUGGAAAGGAUUACAACAUCUGGAAGAACAAGAUGAAAGCUUUCCUACGAUCAAAGGAUCCUCUGGAAUGGGACGUUAUAGAAAAAGGAAUUACUCCUACAACUGCAUCAGUCUCUGAAAGAGGGAAAGAAACUGUUGAGACCAGCGGAAUGACUUAGGAAGAGAUAAUCAAGAGACAAGCACUCGAUGCAAAAGCAAUUUACUCUUUAUAUUGUGCUUUGUCACCAACUGAAUAUAAUAGAAUAUCUUCUUGUGUUACAGCAAAAGAAGUUUGGGACAGAUUGCAUAUCACCUAUGAAGGAACAGAUCGAGUGAAGGAAACCAGAAUUAACAUUCUUCUCGGUCAAUAUGAAGCCUUCAAAAUGAAACCAGGAGAAUCUAUAACUGACAUGUUUAGCCGUUUUACAGAUAUUGUCAAUGGUCUUGAGAAUCAAGGACAAACAAUUUCUGAUCCCAUGAAGGUAAACAAGCUACUGCGUGGACUCUCCAAGGAUUGGAAUCACAUAAAGACUUCGAUAAGAGAGACGCAAAGAAUUAUGCCACUAUCUGUCGACGAGCUGAUUGGAACUCUUCAGUCUUAUGAAGUGGAACGGAUCAAUGAAGAUGAAGAUCCAAAAGGUAAGAAAUCCAUUGCAUUAAAAUCAAAUAAUGAUUCUGAUGAUACAGAUUCUGAAGAUGAUAUGGACGAUAAGGAGCUUGCUCUCAUGAUAAGAAGAUUCAGAAAACUGAAUAGAAAAGGAAGAAGGUUCAACUCAAAGAAACAAAGCUUUCAAAGACAGCAGACCAAGUCUGUUGAUGAUGAGGAACCAAACAAAGACGUAGUCUGCUUUGAAUGUAAGAAAAAGGGACACAUCAGACCCAACUGUCCUCUUCUGAAGAAGAAGAGAGGAAAAGCUGAAAAAUUUCGAAAAGCUCUCAAAGCCGAAACCUGUAGUGAUAUAGAGUGUGAAGAAAGUGAUAAUGAAUAUGCCAAUUUAUGUCUGAUGGCACAAUCAGACUCAGACUCUGGAUCAGACUCAGACAGUGAAUUUGAGGCAAGUAAUUUUAAAAUUCCUGUCAAAGUUUCUAAAUACAUUGAUGAACUGUGUUUUAGUCUUAAGACUUCUCUCAAAAGAAUUUCCGAACUUAAAAAAGAAAACUCAGCUCUAAAACAAAAGGAAAACGUUUUAGAAGAAAGAGUUAAAAGUCUAGACUUGACUGUUUCCACUCUUGAAGAAAAUGAAGAUAAUCUUUUAAAAGAAAAUGCUCUUUUAAAAACUGACUUAUAAAUAUUUCAAAGAAAUUUUCAAUAGGGUCUGAAAAACUUGAAAAAAUUCUUUCAGCUCAAAGACCUUACUUCAAUAAGUCCGGUCUAGGUAUGACAGCAGAAACAAUUCCCUUGAUUGAUUUUCCUAAGGUAAAAGAAAGAAUUAAGAAAAGACCCUCGAGAAAGGCUUACAAAAAUCAUUUCAAGAAAGUUUUUGUAAAAUCUGUAGGUAGAAAUGCUCUCAGAUGUUCAAAGUGCAACAGUCCGGAUCACUUUGAAAAAGAAUGUCCUAUGGUUUGGAAACCUGUUAAGAAAAUAUGGGCUAAUACUGCUUAUCUUACUAACACCAAAGGACCCAAGAAAGUUUGGGUACCAAAGAAAGCUUGAGACUUUAUUUUAAAUGCAGGUCUCCAUCAAGAAAAAGGUAAAGUGGUAUCUUGACAGUGGAUGCUCAAGACACAUGACAGGAGACUCAAAUUGUUUUAUAAAGCUUGCUCAAGUAAAUGGUGGAAAAGUUUCAUUUGGAGGAAACAUCAAAGGAAGUAUUGUGGGAUUUGGAACUGUGAAAAUUGAAAAUCUCACAAUAAGUAAUGUUUCCUUAGUGGAAGGACUCAAUUACAAUCUUCUCAGCAUUAGUCAAUUGUGUGAUACUGGUUUUAAGAUCUUAUUUCAAGAAGGAAUAUGUUCUGGAAUCAGUAAAGACUCUACUCAGUCUUUCAUGGGUCGAAGACAUGGAAACAUCUAUCUUCUGGAUGUGAAACCAAAUGAAUCACAAUGUCUUAUCUCAAUUCAAGACGAAGCAAGCUUAUGGCACAGAAAGCUUGGUCAUGUCAACAUGAAGCAAUUAGCCAAAAUCUCAUCAAAGCAGCUUGUUCGAGGUCUACCCAAAUUACCUUAUCAAAAGACUGAUCCAUGCACUCCAUGUAUUCUGGGAAAGCAGGUAAGAAAUUCAUUUAAGCCAAUAAAUCAUGUCUCUACUAAUCAUGUACUGCAGUUGCUGCAUAUGGACAUCUUUGGACCAACUAGAACCUAGAGUAUUGGAGGUAAGAAAUAUUGCCUAGUAAUUGUGGACGAUUACUCCCGUUUUACUUGGGUAUAUUUCCUUGCAAGUAAGUCUGAAACCUUCUCGUAUUUUGAAAAAUUUGCUAAAAAGGUUCAAAAUGAAAAAAGGAUGUGUUAUCUCAAGUAUAAGAACAGAUCAUGGAGGUGGAUUUGAAAAUCAAGAUUUUACAAAAUUUUGUGAUGAAUCUGGCUUUAAGCAUGUGUUCUCCUCUCCAUAUACUCCUCAGCAAAAUGUAGUUGUGGAAAGAAAGAAUAGAUCUCUUCAAGAAAUGGCUAGAACUCUUUUAAUUGAAAGUAAGAUUUCUUCACGAUUUUGGGCUGAAGCUGUUUCAACAGCAUGCUAUAUCAUCAAUAGAGUCUUCUUAAGACCUAUUCUAGAGAAAACCCCUUAUGAGUUAUUCAAAUAUAAGAAGCCUAUUGUUUCAUACUUUCAUGUAUUCGGUUGCAAAUGUUUUAUAUUGAAAAAUGCAAAAGAUCGAGUUGGUAAGUUUGAAGAAAGAUUAGAUGAAGGUAUCUUCCUUGGAUAUUCUACAUCAAGCAAAGCCUACAGAGUCUAUAACAAGAAGAGCCAGUUUGUGGAAGAGUCAAUGAAUGUCAAAUUUCAAGACUCAACGCAAGAUGAAUCAAGUCAGACUCAUCAAGAAGAGUCUGAACCUUCUCAGACUCUGGAAGACCAGCAUCAGGUUGUUCGUGAAGAUCCAAAUAAAGAGAGAGAUCAUCAACCAGACAAAUCAACAAGUAACUGGAAGCAUAAGUCCAGUCAUCCCAAAGAUCUUAUUAUCGGCGAAAUUAAUGAAGGAAUUCGCACAAGAUCCAAAAGGCGAGAAGAGUCUAGUGCUGUGGCUCUCGUUUCUGAAAUUGAACCAAAGAGCAUAGAAGAAGCUUUAUCUGAUGAAAGCUGGAUUGAAGCAAUGCAAGAAGAGCUCAGACAGUUCAACAUUAAUGAUGUCUGGGAAUUGACAUCCAAACCAAAAGGUAAAACUGUUAUUGGAGCUAAAUGGGUGUUCAGGAACAAGAUGAAUGAGAAAGGAAGAGUCGUACGAAACAAAGCAAGACUCGUGGCCAAGGGAUAUACGCAAGAAGAAGGAAUAGACUAUGAUGAGACUUACGCACCAGUAGCAAGGUUAGAAGCUAUUCGACUAUUACUUGCGUUUGCUUGUUAUAAGAAUUUCAGGUUAUUCCAAAUGGACGUCAAAAGCGCCUUCCUAAAUGGAUUUAUCCAUGAGGAAGUUUAUGUGGAACAACCACCAGGGUUUGAAGACCCAAAGAAGCCAGACUCAGUCUUCAGACUGAAAAAGGCUUUGUAUGGUUUAAAGCAAGCACCUCGAGCUUGGUACGACAGACUAAGUAAGUUCUUAAUACAAAAUGGUUUUGUCAAAGGAAAAGUAGAUACAACUUUAUUUAUCAAAAAGGAAAACAAAAGUUUCUUACUUGUUCAAAUAUAUGUGGAUGAUAUUAUUUUUGGAUCCUCUAAUGAAAAUCUGUGCAAGAAAUUUUCUAAGUUUAUGCAGGAUGAGUUUGAAAUGAGUAUGAUGGGAGAGUUAACAUUCUUUCUUGGUCUUCAAGUAAAACAAUUGAAGGAAUGAACUUUUAUUUUUCAAGAAAAAUAUGCUAAUGAUCUUGUCUAAAGGUUUGGAUUGGAAAAGUGCAAAAAGACCGACAUACCGAUGUCAAGUUCUUUGAAGAUAGACAAAGAUGAAGAAGGGAAGAAAGUUGAUCAAAAGCUGUACAGGAGCAUCAUUGGUUCACUUCUUUAUCUUACUGCUUCUAGACCUGACAUUUUGUUGAUUGUUUGCAUCUGUGCUAGGUUUCAAUCAGAUCCUAGAGAAUCCCAUCUCAGUGCUGCGAAACGUAUUAUUAAAUACGUUGCUUCAUCAUUAAGCAUCGGUCUUUGGUAUCCUAAGAAGGGAGACUUUAAUCUUCUGGGAUAUUUAGACGCAGAUCUGGCCGGUUGCAGAGUUGAUAGAAAGAGCACUUCAGGAACUUGCCAGUUGCUUGGAAGCAAGACAGUGUCUUGGUUUUCAAGGAAACAAAGCACUGUGGCUCUUUCAACAACAGAAGCAGAGUAUGUAGCCCUUGGAAGUUGCUGUUCGCAAAUUCUAUGGAUAAAACAACAGCUACAAGACUUUGGAAUUGAAGACUCAUGCACAGAGAUUAGAUGUGACAACACCAGCGCAAUCAAUCUCACUAAAAAUCCAAUCAUUCACUCAAGAGCAAAGCAUAUAGAGAUUCGCCAUCACUUCAUUAGAGAUCAUGUUCAAAAUGGAGAAAUCUCAAUUCAAUUUGUUGAUUCAAAAAAUCAACUAGCGGAUAUAUUCAUAAAACCUUUGGAGAAAAAUCAAUUCGAUUUCAUCCGUUCAAGACUCAACAUUUUGAAGCUUGAGGAAGUUAAAGUCUAGAGACUCUUCAGACUCAACAUUUUGAAGCUUGAGGAAGUUAAAGUCUAGAGACUCUCCAACCCUCAGACUCAGACAUUCAUGGCUAUAGACUGUAAGUUGUUAUUAUAUUCAAUCUCGAAAAGGUACGAUCAUUAGUUUAUAAUUUCCAUGAAAAACUGAAACUUGUCUUUCAAAAAUGAUUAACCUCUAUUUGGCAGUUAUUGAUUUUAAAAGAGACGUCUGUUCAUUUUCGUUUGUGCCGAUUGAUUUUUCCUUUUUAAACUGAGUUAUAUAUAUAAAGUUUUCCUCGCUUACACUUCAAAACCCUAAAAAGGCAUUAUCCUCCCAAUCCUGUUUCUACUUCGUGUUUAUCUUCAAGAAAGUUGUCAUCUUUUCUUGGGAAAGCGAGUCAAGGAAUCUUUCAACGACAAGAAAGGAUGUCUUCCUCGAGAAAGUCUUCAAGAAUCGCAAACAGGGGACCACAGAGAAUGAGGGAGGGACCUACCCAUUUCGAUCUCACAGAAGAGGAAGAUUUACCGAGUCAGCAACAGAGCUCGAUUCACUCUCCACCACGUCACUCUUCAUCAUCUACCCCACAAGAUGUGAGUCAUCAACAGGAGGAAGAAAUAAUCGAGGACGCAGACCCUAUAAGAGUCCAAAAACCCUCUUUUAUUUACAAGCUCUAUCGUGCAAUAAAGAGCAUUGGGACUCCGUUGAACUAUAUAGAUGAUUUCCUUAAAGAUAAGAAUUAUGGGAAUGAGUAUCUAUUUCUGCGACGAAUGGAGGAUUUGGGAAUUGCUCCCAAAGGAAAGGCUGAGGAAGCACUUGCGAAUAUUCCAAGUGACCCUCGUGUAUCGGGACUGAAUCCCACUGACGAGAACGAUGAUGAUAAAAUGUUCAGAGAAUUUCAACCUCUAAUGGGAGUUGCUGCGAAGGUGAAAGGAAAAAGAAAGGAUUUGUUUAAAUCGAAGGAACGGGAGAAUCUGUUCUUCAGACUGUUGAAACAAGGGGUGAUAAACCCCAGGAGUGUUGAUUUCGAUUUCUUGGAUGCCAUUAAUGUGAACUUAAGGGAGAAGUUAAAUCUGCUUCAACUUGACCAAAUUUUCUCCGAUACCACAAACGGUUAUGCGCAAUUAACAGCAUACAUCUAUUCGAAUCUUAGCUUUUUGGAUGCGAAUAGAAUAUCAUUCAGUGUUCGAGACCAAGUCUAUGAGGUGGAUGUGGACAUGUUGGCAGAUAUAAUUGGAGUUGAAAGAGGACGGUAUAGACCAAUCAAGGUUUCAAUCGCUCGUACCACUCUGGAACUUGUCAAAGACAGGAGUACAGAAGGAAGAGUUACCUAUUCAAGAAUGCAUGCCAUCAACAUUUUGCUUCACAAAAUUGUGAUCAACUGUAUCAGGCCAAAGUCUACAUCAAAGACUGAUGUGUCUAAUUCCGAGGCAAAAUUGAUGUAUGCGAUCAAUUCAGGGAAAAAGUUCUCUCUCCCUCACACCAUUCUCUUUCACAUGACAGAGCAAUGGUGAAGGACAAGGGCCAAUUGCCUUAUCCAGGUCUUGUGACCAAGAUCUUCAGACACUUGAACAUUGAACCUACACAUACUCUUUGUGUUCGACCAUGCGAUAAAAUGGUGGUGGGUUUGAAAAUGCUGACUAAAAUGCGUCUGAAAGAGCUUAGUAAGGCAAUGGAGAAGUUCAAGGUGAAGACUCCAGCAUCUUCUGCAUCAAAGAAAAAAGGGAAGGAGCCCAUUGGUGCCUCAUCCAAAAAGAAAAGAACUCUUAUCUUGGAGGAUGAAGAUGAAGAGGAAGAUCUCACUAUCCCUGCAUUGAAAAGAACCAGACGUUCUGUACCUGAAUCAACAGAACAAUAGAAGAAGGGAAAAGAAGCAGAAGAAAAAGAACAGAGAGAAGAAGAGGGACAAGCAAAGAACAGAGAAGCAGAGGAGCAACAAGAGAAAGAGAAAGAAGCUGAAGAAGAAGGAGAAGCAGAAAAAGAAAAGUCUGCAGAUGAAGCUGCAGAGAAAGGGAAUCAAGGUGCAGAAGAGCAUGACCAUCACUCUUCCCCAAUUGAGGUCCUAGAGACAGGGGGAGAUGGCGAGCAAGGAAGGACUACACCACAUGCUAUCAACAGUGAAGGUGUGAGUCGCUCACCAGCAAAUCCAGAAGAUUUUCAGGCUUCUCAAAUGCCUGAAGAAGGACAUGAUACGUCAACACCAAAUCUGCUUGAUUACAACGAAGUUCCAUCGUCUGCCUUCACUCCAUCUGAAAGAGCAAAUGCAAUCACAUAGACGGACAAUACAGCAGAUUUUCGUCGUAUUCUUGAUGUUCUUAUGGAAAUGCAGGGUCAAAUCUAUGCUCUGGAAUGUGAACUUCAAGUCAUGAAGAAUGCUGGAAAAGCAUCUUCUGUCACCCUGGUAGAUCAAAUGAAAGCCCUCGCUCUUCAAAUUCAAGCCAAUGCCAAAGGAGAAGAGGUGGCUCAUCUACGGGAAGACUUGAAGAGGCUGGAAGGCAUCGUUCAAUCGAUGGGAGAUUUCCAGAUUGUGCGCGUUCCCAAGAAGACUUGAUUUUUUUUCUCACCUUUUUAAUGAUGACAAAAAGGGGGGAGAAUUGCAAUUUGAACUCUUUAAACUCUUUAAUCUUUAAACUCUUUAAACUUUGACGUGUUUGAAUAUUUGAGUAUGACUUGGGUGUGAACUUGAAUUUGACUGACUUGUGUGGAUUUUGAUGUUUGACUGUUUGCAUUUAUAUCAAGUGUUGUUAUAUGGUCUUACUCAUGAAAACUAACCAAUUUUCUGUGGGUGCAGAGUCUGGUUGAUUUAUUUUAUGAGAUAGCCAUAUUCCUUGAGUAAUGUUUUGCAGGUCAAAGUUGUUCAAAUCUACAGGAAAGUUUUGUCACCAUCAAAAAGGGGGAGAUUGUUGGAGAAAUCUUUCCAGAAUAUUUUGAAGCUGACAAAACGUUUCUAUCAGUCUAGUCUGGAUAAGUACAGAUCUUCUGUUUAGAGUCUGAAGACUUUCAGAUCACCAGACUCAAGACUCAAGACUCAAGACUCAAGACUUAAGACUAUUCUCAUUGACAGUGUUUCUAAUCUAGUGACGAAGGCAAUCCAGAGCCAAAGUAUUUGGUUCAGGAUUUGGUCUUAUCCUCUGGAGAAGAUCUCUUGGCUGGAUAAAUAUAACGGAUUCUUUUAUUCGUAAUCAAGAUCAUUUGAAGAUCCGAUGGUCGACGAAUUAUUCUUGGAAGGUUCUAUUCUUGGAAACCAAGAUCCUGAUUGUAUGGGCGAACAAGAUUGAUGGGCUAUCGUCAGGUUCCUUUAAUAGCUCAAAUGAUCUUCUUGAUUGAUUCCGUCCAACGGGUAGAUUGGAGGAAUUCCUUUGGUAAGUGCCAACGGAUAUGAUGGCAUAAAUGAGUAUAAAAGGAAGACAUUCUAGUUGCUUUAGUGCAUGAUCGAUAGAGAAAUUCCAGAGUCUGAAGUACCUUGAUUAUUAGUCGAUACAUUCUGAGCAAAAUUGUACACACAGAGAGUGUCUAUACUUAGUGAUACCUUGAACGAGUGUGGUAGAUCAUCUACACCGAGAAAGCAAGGGAGAACAACACUGUAACAUCUCUUUGUUCAUAGUGGAAUCCAGCCAAUAGGCUGUCAGUGUAGAAGAGUGGACGUAGGCUUGACAUAAGCCGAACCACUAUAAACCGCGUGUUCAAUUUUCUCUUCUCUCAGUCUUACUUUGAUUAUCGAUUGUCUCAAAUCCAUCAACUGUCUAGUAUUGUGCAAUUAUCGAGAAAAAUAUUUUAUAUACCUAUUCACCCCCCUCUAGGCACUUAUACUAGCUAUAUCAUUCAUCUGGUGGGACAAAGGAUUACUGCAUAGUCUUGAUGCCUGUGUUCUUUCUAACUCAAUCCCUAUGUCAUAAGAUCAUUCUGAGUACUGCUAGUUGUGCAAACGAUUUAAUGAGACUACUAAACCAAUCGCAGAGUCCAUCUCGCAUUAUUCUCGAGUUCUCCUCAUCACAGAUGUCUCACCGGAAUAGCCAAAUCUUUCCAAAGAGACUGGGAAGGCUUGGCCACAAAGUAAUCUGAUCUUACUCCUAUGUAUGCNNNNNNNNNNNNNNNNNNNNNNNNNNNNNNNNNNNNNNNNNNNNNNNNNNNNNNNNNNNNNNNNNNNNNNNNNNNNNNNNNNNNNNNNNNNNNNNNNNNNNNNNNNNNNNNNNNNNNNNNNNNNNNNNNNNNNNNNNNNNNNNNNNNNNNNNNNNNNNNNNNNNNNNNNNNNNNNNNNNNNNNNNNNNNNNNNNNNNNNNNNNNNNNNNNNNNNNNNNNNNNNNNNNNNNNNNNNNNNNNNNNNNNNNNNNNNNNNNNNNNNNNNNNNNNNNNNNNNNNNNNNNNNNNNNNNNNNNNNNNNNNNNNNNNNNNNNNNNNNNNNNNNNNNNNNNNNNNNNNNNNNNNNNNNNNNNNNNNNNNNNNNNNNNNNNNNNNNNNNNNNNNNNNNNNNNNNNNNNNNNNNNNNNNNNNNNNNNNNNNNNNNNNNNNNNNNNNNNNNNNNNNNNNNNNNNNNNNNNNNNNNNNNNNNNNNNNNNNNNNNNNNNNNNNNNNNNNNNNNNNNNNNNNNNNNNNNNNNNUUUAAAACAACAUUCAAGCUCUGAUAUUAUAACUGCUUGCCAAGGGAUCUUUUCUUCUUUAUAUAGACAAGUAGGGGAGGGACAAGAUAGAAAUGGAACCUAAAAUCUCAUGGACCGAUCUGUUGUUCCUAAUCACAAGACAAAGGAUUGGUAGCGUAUCAUCCCAAACAAAACACAAAAAAUUACUGUUCAUAUGCAAACUGAUUACAGGGGAUGGAAGAACAGAGAGAUGAAAACAAUUGCAUAGACAGAUCUUUUGUACCUUAGACUGGUGAUAAUCAGUCCAUAACAAUUGGGAAGGUAAGAGAGUUCUCAAAGGCAGGAGCCAGCACUUUCAUCUUUCUUAGACAACCACAAUGUGUGGUUUCGAUCGGCAAGCCCACAACUAAUGUAGCUCAUAAACUUCACUCAACCCAGCUUGGCAAACCUAGCCUCUGUCAAGAAGAUCCGUUUCACAACCCCAACUUAACACAACCUGACGGGUUUCAUUUGGGAGAAUAAUUUUGGGAUUGCGUAUGUGUGGGUUAAGAGCUGCCAAUUCCUUCCAUUUAGCACCAGUUCCAUGAACACGGGAUGAGAUGCUCCACAGUGUGUCACCAGGCUGUGCCUUAGUUGUUGCUGGGGCAGUAGAUUUAGAAGAAGCAGUCUUCGACUUC
rnacentral:lncRNA from 1 species